AGAUAUUUUCUUUUUUUAAAAUUUAUAAUUACUUUUUAGUAAUUGGUUAGGUCAUCAAUAGCACAUGGCAUUUUUUAAUUAGUCAAUUUUGUCAUGUCAGCACAAGUGUAGAAAACAUACUUCAUAAUUUUUGUUGAAUAUUCGAAAGUGCCUAGUAAAAAUAAUUUUCUAUGUUCAAUAGGUAUCAAUCUUAGUUGAGGGGUCCAAGUGAAAUUUUGAAAUAAGUUUAGAAUUCUAUCGAUGACUUAAGUCAUAUUUAAAAAACAUAUAAAAAAAAAAAUUACAUAGUACCACAACUUAAGUUCACUAAUCUACUUAGAAUUCCUAUCCUUUUUUAGUAAUUAUAAUAAUCCCUAAUUUUUAGCAUAUCCUAAGAAAACUCGGAUACAUCCUUAAAAUUCUUAUUUACUUUCUCUCUCUUAAAACAUCCAAUAAAUCACAAAAAUUGGGAAUCCACCACCUACUGGUCCUAUUUUCUUGGCUAAAAUUUAUCUCCAUUAUUUGUUGUUCCUUUCAUCUUCAAUUUCUCUAUUACUAUAAUUCAAUUUCUCUAUAAAGAUGUCACUUUUUCUCCGCCACCACCUAGUUGCUCUCACAUAUUUUGUUUGGCAUUUGAUUCAUGAGAUGUGAAGCAACUGGAUCUUAUUCUUGCAUUAUUUUUUCAUCUUCUUUUCCACCAAUUUUUUUUAUAUAAAUUAUUUUUUUAUUUUUCCUCAUUUGAGCAAAGAAAAGAAAAAAGUGAAAAAAAUAAGAUUUUAAUUUCUUUAAAGUAUCGAAAUCACAUUCCCCAACGUUUUACCAUGAAAUGUGUCUGGUAUGUUCUCUGCGGAAUUGUUACUUGAAAAAUUCAAUGGAGAUGAAGAAGAGUAGGGUGUCGCAACUUCAUGAUGUAUCUGUUAUUAAUGGCGGAGUGAUGGUGCUUCAAAAGGCAAAAUGAGGUUUUAUUGUUUUGAAAGACAAAGUGGGUGAUUCAAAAAGGUAUUAUGAAUAUGUAUUGAAACAAAAAGAUAGUGAGAUACAUUAUUUAUGUCAGAUCCAAGUAUCUGAUACAUAAUUAUUAUGUAUCUCUCUUAAUUAUUUUAUAGAAUAAUGUAUUUCGAUCAAAAUAGUUGUAAAGUGUAAUGUAUCUCUAUCAUUUUUAUUCUACUAAUAAACUCAUCAUUCAACUAAUACAUUUAUUGAUGAAUAACCAAGUAAUAAUCUAAAUGUUACAUUUUAAUGUAUCUGAAUAUAAGGUAUGCAAUAUGUAUUCGCACUUGAUAUCAGUCAGUCAAACACUGAAUUAUUGUAACAACAUAGUGAUAUUCAUUAUGAAACGUUCAAAAAUAACAAAAAAAAAAAUGCAACAAUUAGAGAAGAGAGGAGAAUCAUGUUUCUGCCAGAAGAAUGAGGAUCUUUUUUUUUUUUAAGUUCAAAACUUGAACUACUUACGUUAUUCUUGGGAUUUUGAGAGUACAAUACAAAGUAUGUCGAAUGAGUUGUUUCACAAAUAAAAGAUUUUCAUUAUUUUUUUUUAACACACAUUAACUUCUUGUUAGGAUGUAUCGGUUGUCAAAUUAUGUAUCUGAAAAAUCAAAAUCAGAUAUUUUACGUAAUUUUAUUAAAAGAAGAAAUAGAGAGUAAGUAGGGGUAAACUUAUUGCGAUUUAAGUAAGUUUUACUAUAAAAAAACAUAAUUGACUCUUUAAAUGACAAAUACUAUAAAUGACAAAUUGUAGCAGAGGAAAAAACAUACAUUAUUUAAAAAUUACAUAGAAAAUACUAUAAAACACAAUAAUUAACAAUUUAAAAUAUUUAAAAAAACAUAUAUAAAAGAUUUGCUUGACUCUCCAAAUUCAUCAGUAUAAACAAAAUUGGGACCAAGAAAUUAAUAUGUACUAUCUAAAAAUUAUGUUGAAAGUAUCAUAAAUCUUAAUAAUUAACAACUUAAAAUAAUUAAAAUAUGUAACACAAUUACAAAAAAUUAAUUGACUCUAUAAACUACAUCUGGAUCAAAUAAAUGAUACAAAAAGAUAGCAUAUAUUGGGCUUGUUCUUGCACUGGCCCUUGUAUCUAAUUUUUAUAACUAAGUCAUGAUGAAUUGAUGAUAACUAGCUACUUCAAGCAUGCAUUUGGUCAUAUGUUUAAAAUAUUUUUCACUUUAUUUAAAAUAUGAAGUUAAAUUUAAAGAUGGAGUUGUAUUUAACUAUACUUUUGUAAUGAAUAUUUGAAAUAAUGUUCAUAUUUGAAUGUACUUAAAAAAAAAUUAUAAAAAAAAUGCAACUAGUAAUGUUACGUUACAAAAUAUAGUCCACUCUAGAUUACAUUAUCAAAUAUGACCCAGUUAUAUAGAAAAAGAAAGUUACUAUAUAUUCUUAGCCAAUUAUUACUCUCUCACACACACACUUUUCUCAUCUUCAUCUAACAAAAUAGAAAACUGGAAUUGAUUUUAAAUGUUCACAAGAUUAGACAUUUCUCAUCAAAACUUGCUACUUACAGAAGCAGUAAAGUUUAUAACAUCUUUCUUUUCCUGCGACCUAGUCGUGCAUGAUAGUCCUUCCAUUGGUUGUAAAUGAAUAUUCUCGUUGAAUGUUUUAGAUGCAUGUUAAGUGUUGCUAUAUUUUUAUUUUAAAAUUUUUGUGUUAGCUCUCCAACUUAACAUGUCAAAUCAUCAGAUAGAACCUUCUAAAUUACAUACAUACUUAUUGUUGCAGUUUGAAUUAAACUCAAUUACUUUUUACGCUCUUUGACUCUGCAUGAUCUUUCAGUAGCAUAAGUAGGGAAUCACCGACUUCCAUAAGUCUAUUAUAUCUUAAAAACUAUACAGUAUGAAACAUAACCUGAAUUUUAUUUUUCAUUAGCUCCAUAAGGCAGCCUUUCAUGUUUGAACGUGAUUUUAGGCUUAGAUGGAAGUCUAUUAAAUGAAGUAGAGGAAUCGAAGUUUGAUUAGAAGUAAAGUAAGACAUUAACGAAGCUUUUCCUUCUUGGGUAACUCCAAAAUCCUGUCUGUUGGAAUCAAGAAAGCAGACAAGGUAAAAAAUCUUGUAUAAUAUUUGUAUAGUAUUGUAUAAGAGUAUACUACCACCUUUUAUAUAAUUUUGAAUAAAUUAUAUAUUAGGUGUAUAUAUAUAAUUAUACAAUAAUAUACAUUAUUACACAAAUAUAUGCACACACAUAUAUAAUGUUUAAAUUAUGUAUUACAUUGUAUAAUUAAUAAGUGUGUAUAAAGUGUAAAGGAAGAAGAAAAUCACCGAAAUAAAGAUAUUGUAUUAUAUAUACAACAAUAUACAAUACAAUAUACAAAUAUAUACGUCGUUGUAUCCAAAAACAGACUCCAUCUUCUUUCUUGAUUCCAAACAUCAAUCCAUUCAAAAAUAUCUCAAAAUUAUACCAAAUCAUUUAAAAUUUUAAAUUUGGGCUCCUCAAUACAUAAUCAAUUUUUUAUAACUAUAUCCAUAAAAUAGAGCUUAUUUAUGAAAAUAUUGAAAUCUCGAGUUGUAAAAAGAAAAACUUGAAACAAUGAUGAAUUAUUCACUAAUUUGUUUGAAAUUUUUUGAGAGAGAAGAGAGAAAGAAUUGAAGUGAAAAUUGCGAAGAAGAAGCUGGAAAUUUGGUAUGAGAAGUGUUGUUUCCUAUAUAAUCAGAAAGAAAAGUUAAUUAACGGUGAUUGGUCAAAUCAAAUUUUGGGCUAUAAAAUAUAAGGUAUAUUUUUGACUAUUUAAAUGUAAAGUAUAUUUACUAGUUGUGCUUUUGUGCAAUUAUUUCAAUAUACAAUCUUAAAAGUGAAAAGUAAACUAACAUGUUAUAAGUUGUUUUUUAAAUUUGAAAAAUACAACUUUAAGCUAAAUUUUAAAUUUUCAUGGUUAAACACUAAUUUUCAAAAAAAAUUAAGAAAUCUGAAAAAAAAAAGAAAAAGUGAAUUAACCUUCGGAUAAAUUGAUAUAAAUAGUCAUGCACCAAAGUAACAACCAACAAGUGUAUAUUCAUUGUAUUUCAAUAUAUAACAAUAUAUGUACUUUAUACAUAAUAAUGUAUAUUUCUAUAUAUUUAGUUACCAAAUGCUUUCUCCGUCUCAUAUUAGUUGGUCAUCUUACUAAAAAUAGUUGUUCUAUAUUCGUUGGUCACUUUACUCAAUCAAAAAAUUAUUCAUUUAAUUUUUUUCAUAUUAACCUCGCAAUUAAUUCUUUUAGAAAGUGUUCGCACUUGUUUGUAAAGUUCCCAAGAACUUUUUAAGGGGUGAGUUAGUAAAAUUAUCUUUUUAUUUAUAUUUUUAAUCAUCGUGUAAAGUAGAAUGUGUCCAACUAAUAUGAAAUGGAUGGGGUAUAAUUAUAUUGGUCCAUUGGCUAAUUUACCUUAAUUUUUAUGACCAAAUGAGUCCUAGUGUUCUUUGAUGUUUUCCAUAAAAUUUUCUGGCAGAAAGGGAAAAAGGGAAUUAAGGCAACAAAUAUUUAGGGGUCAUUUGGUAGAACGUAUAAAAAUAGUACUGAAUAGAGCGUAUUAGAAAUGCUAAGAUUAGUAAUAUUGAGAUUAGUAAUACUGAAUUAGUAGUAUUGGCUUAUUUCUUAUCCAGUAGUUGAUUUGAUGUAUUAAAAAUAAUUUGUAUUGCUAUAUUUUCUUAAAACUAUUAUUUGUUUACAAAAAUAUCCUUCAUAUUCUAUACCUUUGUGUAUUUUCUUUCCAUAGUUCUAUUAUUUAUUCUUAAAAACAAUUUUUUUUAUCCUCACUUAAAUUAUUUGAGAGUAAAUAAUUGUUAUCUUAAUAAAUUGAUUCACUCACAAAACGUCAAAUUUUAAUUAAAAAUAAGAGUCGAUAAAAUUAUUAGAUAGAGUUUUAUAGGGUGAUACUUCCUAGUUUAAAUAGGUUCCAUUAACCUUACUACUUUAUAAUUUUUACUUUUGGUGGUGAAAUAAGAUUCGAUAGUAAUCCCCUCUUCCUGCCCCCCGAAACACCCUAGAAUUUAGGGACUUUGAAAAUUUUGAGAUUUGAGCUUACUACCUAAGCUAUAACUCACCCAACGAGUUGUAAGGUCUCCUUAUGAAUCAUAGGGUAACCAGUGAGGUUAUCCAUGUCUUCUGUCCUAACCAUGAAUCCCACUUAAUGAGUCAUGAAGACUCUAUACAAGCCGUAUAGGUGUCAUCCAUAACCAGACUAGUGUAAUAGCCAAGGUUUCUAUUAUGGCUACGACUGAGAUGUCACGAGUCUUAAUGACUCUAUACCGAUCGUAGGGUGCUUAACAUAGCCAAACCAGAGUAGGUGAACAAUAUCAGUAUUUCUGUUAUGACUAGGACCCUAUGAGUUAUAAGAUCUGUGUAUGAGUCGUAGGGUUAACAGUGAUGAGGCCCCAUGUCUCUUCCAGACUACGAGUCAUCGCCACGACUCGUAAUCAGACGUCACGAGUCGUGAUGUGACUCGUAGUCACCGGCGAUAGUCUUUUCCUGUGUUUAAGUUGGGGGUACUUUGGUCAUUUUCCUCUUUCCCAAUUGUGACCCAUGACCUUAAAACCCUUUUGGGACCUUAUUAUCAUCCAAAAACAUAAUCCAACACACUCUCAAACUCUCUCAAAUCCCUAAGUCUUUAAUAGGUUAGGGUUUCUCAGGGUUGAUCAUUUAAAGCUUUCAAGUGGUGAUUUCUCUCCAUAAUUGUGAUACUUUCAAGUAUAUACCUCUUCCCUUAAACUUGUUUUACUUAAAACAUGUGUUUAAAUGGUUAUUCAUGUAUGGAUUUUGAUUUGGGUUGAGGAUUUUGAAAUUAAUAUUACUUGAAUGAAUUUCCAUGAUUUUAUAUGCAUUGUUCAUGCUUUAUCAAUGAUUUUAAACUAAUUGGGUGAAUGGGUAUGAAAAUUGAAAAGAGGGUCGAGGCAUUCCCCAAUUUGAUGAUUUUGGUUUGAAAUUUGAUUUUAGAAAUUACGCUCUCUCAACCCACUUGCAUAAUUGAAUUUGAAUGAUGGCUAAUCACUUGAUUUGACUUGCUUCCCUAAACUAUUGCAUUGCAUAAAUGGUUAAAUGGAUAAAAAGGAUUUUGAAAGCCUUGUUGGCCAUGUUGUUAAUUUAAAACAUGAUUUAAUGAACAAAGGUGGUCGUGGCAUUUUUCCAACUUGGUUUGAUGAACAACGGGGGUCGUGGCAUUCUUCCAAGUUGAUGAAAUUAGUAUGGCAUAAUUAUAAGCUUGGAAGCGCAAUGGUAUGAUGAUACCCAAGGUUGAUGUCUCAAUAGAUAAUUCCUUGGUUAAUGUGUUGACACCUAAUUUUUGCCCUCCACGACUAAGUUUAAUUUCGAGUUUCUUCAUUUUAAAUAAAAUAUAACAUUUAUUUUACCUAAAUAAAAUAAUCUUCAAAAUAUUUAUCUUGGUAAUUUUGUUAUUUAAGUAGCGAUUAAAUAUUUUCGUAUUCAAUUAUAAAAAAUCAUAUAAUUUUGUUACCUAAAUAUUUAUGUUACGAAAUAUCGGAUUUUAAUCAAGACUUAUCUUGAAAAUUAAUUCAAACGGUUGAAAUCUUGAUUUAAUUAUAAUUAGUCUCAAAAAUAAUUUAUUUUAAAAAUAUUUAUUUGAUUUUAUUAAAUUAAGAAGCUCGGAAUUAAAUUGAUUGAUAAUUUAUUUUUAAUUUUGAUUUAAUGUAGUCAAUUUAUUGGAUUCGGUCAUAAUUGAAACCUAUUUGACCACAAUUGCUAUGCAAUUGGCCAAUAGACUUAUCAAUUUAACUAAAUUAUAAAUAAAAUUGACUAAAGCUUCAACCCAUUUAGGCUAUUUCUUAAAUGACUUGAUCUAUCCAUUCCCUUUUACUUUAUUUCAGCCUCAUCAGGCCAAAAACUGACCCACCGGCCCAACAACACUUCAGCCAACCCGGCCCACACCCCAUAUUUCCUAGGGAAAAAUUUCAGAAAUAUCAUCUAUAGAAUCUUAAUUGUAACUUUUAUAGCAACAGUUUUAUAAUUAUAAAAAAAAUAGCAAAUUGUAUAUUGUAUUUAAGUAAAUCGUUGUUAUACAAAUACAUAUACAACAAAAUUUAUUGUCCUUAUUUUACUCAAAUUAAUUGAGUUAAAUAAGGAAUAAUUAUCCUAUCUAAUUAAAUUCUCAUAAAUUACUGUUAUUUAAAUUAGUAGAUUCUUUUUCCAAAUCAAACUCAAAUAUGAAGAUUAUUAUUUUCAUGAUCUUCAAAAUUUCAAAAUAUCAUUCUCUUAUAUCUCUAACUAUUUUUUCUUGUUGGUAUUUUCAUUUUUUUUUAUCUUUUUUAAUUUUAAUUUCUAUUUCUUUUUCAUUUUUUUCUUUCCACUUUAUUUUCUCUCUUCUACUUCUUUUUUUUUUCCUUUUUCCUUUUUUUUUUCUUUUUUCGUUUUCUUUUUUUUUUUCCUUUUCUCAUAUUCUUUUUCGUUUUCUUCUUCUUCUUUUUUAUUUUUUUUUGCUUUUAUUUUUACACUUCUAUUUCCAUUUCUCUUUCUUCUUCUUUUUUCCUUUUUCACUUUUUUUUUUGAAUUUUUAUUUUUUUCUUUUUUUUACUCUUCUAUCUCUAUAUUUUAUUUUUAAAAGACAAAUAUCCUUAUCAUAUAUACAUAUUCAAAAAAAAAACAAAAUAAAAAGCCUUACAGAUCUGCAUAUGUAUUUACGGUAAAACACAUAUGUAUAUAUAUAUAUAUAUCUGCAUAUGUAUUUACAGAAAUACAUAUCUGACUCACAUGUAUAUAUAAACAUAUAGGACACAGAAUCUCUAUAACAAAAAUGACAAUUUAUGCAUAUACAUAUAGGUAAUAAAAAAAAUACAUGCUACAUAUCUUAAACAGUAAAAGAAAACAAAUAAGUACAUAUGUUACCCUAUAAAAUGACAUAAUAUGUACAGUUCAAAGACAAAUUCAAUACCGUAUAAAAUGCAUAUAGCUCUGCAUAUGUAUUUACGGAAUACAUAUCUAAUCCAUAUGUAUAUUUUUAUUUUAUAUGAGUCGUCUUUGUAUUUCGCAAAUACAUAUGAAGAUAUAUACUAUAGUUAUAUUUGUUACUGUUUAAUAUGAAUACGAUAUGUAUUUCGUAAAUACAUAUGUAUGUUUUGUACCGUAAAUACAUAUCCAGAUCUGUAUGUCUAUGUAUUUUAUAUAUUUUUUAAAUAUGUGUAUGUGAUAAACAUAUUUGUGUGGUAAAUAUAUUUGUCUCUUCAAAAUAAAAGUUAGAGAUAGAAGAGUAAAAAAAGAAAAAUAACAAAAAGAAAAAAAUGAAAAAAAGAGAAGUGAAGAAGAAUAAAAAAGAAAGAAAGAGAAAUAGAAGUGUAAAAAUAAAAGAAAAAAGAAAUAAAAUAAAAUAAUAAAAAGAAGAAGAGAAUGAAAAUAGAAAAAGAAAAAAAAGAUAUGAGAAAGGAAAAAAAAAAUAGAAGAGAGAAAAUAAAGCGGAAUGAAAAAAAUGAAAAAGAAAAAGAAAAAGAAAUCAAAAUAAAAAAAUAAAAUGAUAAAAAAUAAGAUGAAAAAAAAAAACUAACAAGAAAAAAAGGUAGAGAUAUAAAAGAGUGAAAUACAAUAAUGAUAUUUUAUUUUGAAAUCUUGAAGAUCAUAGAAAUAAUUAUUUUGAAAUAUGAAAAAGAAAACAAAAAAAAUAGAAGAGAGAAAAUAAAGUGAAAAAUAAAAAAAAUGAAAUAAAAUAAGAUAAAUGAUAAAAAAAAAUAAGAUUAAAAAAAAAGGUAAAAGAUAUGGCUAUAUUUGGGGGAGGUGAAAUAGUGGAGUAAAAAUAAAAAAAUAUAAAGUAGUAAAAGUAAAACAUACACUUGACUAAUUAAUGAGUAAAUAAUGUUACUCUUAUUAUAAACUAUAAUUUUAUAAAAAUAUUAUUCUCACCAUCCCAAAUUAUGUGUCAUUAUUUUUUUUUUAAUCCGUUCCAAAAUAAAUAUCGUCUUUCCUUAUUAGGCAACUUUUUAAAAACACAAUUAUUCUUUUACUCUUAUUGGUCCCACUUAAUUAAAAAAGAAAUAUUGGCACAUUAUUUUAUAAAAGAUAAUUUGAUAAACUUUACCAAGUUUUUUUUUUUUUUCUUAAAUUUCAUGCUUGAUUAAAUGACGACACAUCGGAGAGAGUAUUAUUUAUUAUAAUUAUAGUUCCAUUCCCUUUCUCCCCUUGUGUGUAUCACGCAACAACAACAUACAAACAAAACCCGUACCAACUUCCAACAACAAAAACAACGGCAAAGCCCAAUACCCAAAUGGCUUCCUGCAAUGUCAAAAACAACAGCAAUUUCAACAACGUUUAACAACGACAAACAACGUUCAGCGACAAGAACAACUUUGUCGAUACCAACGAGCAACAACAAUUCAAUAGUUUCAACGUGCAAAUCCGAUUUCAACCCGUACCCGUCGGCGACCCAACCCACAAACACCGCAAGUUCAACCAAUAAACCCCCUAAAUCAUGAAAUAUCUCCCUUCAUCUUAUCUCUGCAAUUUUGCAUACUUAGAGCCAUCGUUGUUGAUUUUGGCUCAAGAUUGUGUGUUUCCAAAUCCAAAAUUCAAUCCAAAUCAGAAGAUGUUCGAAUUUUAGGGAUAUGUAUGGAAAAGCCAAUAUCUUUCCCUUAAAUAGGGAUUGNNNNNNNNNNNNNNNNNNNNNNNNNNNNNNNNNNNNNUUGAGGAUUUCUUGGGGAAAAUUUUGGAGAUUCUGGAGGAGCUUUCCUCUAAUCUCACGUAACCGAGUAAUUCGUUGAAUUCAUUAAUUCCAGCAAAAAUCAAGCUAAAUUCUGAUUUUUGAAGUCGUCUUUGUCGUCUCGUCGUCCCGGUUCCUGCGUCUAAAAAGGUAAUACUCCUCCUACUCUCAUCUUAAUUACUCACUGCUUAUUUGAUGAUAUUUGAAUUUGGCUUGUUAGUUCGAAUGUGAUUUGGUUGAAUCAGUUUUCCCAGGUUUGGUUUAAUUACUGGAAUGACAUGAUAAAGAUCUAAAUGUGAAUCCCCUGUCAAGUCCGUUAAGUAAAGAUUGUCAUUGUGAUUCCUUGCUAAUCAUCAAUGUUUUCUUGCUAGCCCGGUGUCAUCUUUUGUUUUCUUGAGCAUGCUUCUUUUGUCUCCUUAUAAGGAUGGAGAUCAGUACAACCAUCUAGAUUAGUAGAUGGUAUUGUUUUGAGUCGUAAUCCACCCCCUUUAUGGUCGGCCAGAUCAUGUCGGGUGUACAAACCUUACAUCUUGGGGUAGAUAUUAGUUUCCCCCAAGAACGUGAAGCUUAGUUUAGCUACGCUCUAAUUUCUUCUUACAGAAUCGAGUUUUGUUUUCUUUACUUGAUCAUGUUGGUCAGCUUUUGGUUGCAUUAGAGAGACAUAUAGUAAAUAUUGAGCAUACUGCAAAAUCACGCUUUCUUGAGCAGGUGUCGAUUAGUUUACAUAUUGGUCUGCAGAUUAUUUUGCGGGUACAUGGUUGACUAUGAGAUGGACUGAUUUAGUUUCAUUCAAGGCUUUGUUACUUGUUAUAAAAAUUAGUGUCAGGAUUUGCCUCUGGAAUGGGCAUCUUGUGAAAAAAAUAAACUUCUCCUCCAAACUCGGGUGUUUUCUUUAUUCAUGCACUCGUCCUCGGUCCCUUGCCCUUCUUGCUUGACUUUAGUCUUAAGGAAAAUGUCCUCGAAUCUACAAAGUGUUUUCCUGUUGAACAUUUAAAAGCAAGAAUAAUCACGAACUAUCUCUUAUCUGGUUCCAAUAUGCAUACUUGAAAAUAAUUGCGUGGAUAAUAUGGAAGGAAUAAUGGGACAAAUUAGAAUUGCGAAAAUCAAUGGUGGGUUUGAGAGAGUUCGAUUUUUGGGACCUCAUUGUUUGUGCCUCUCUUUUUGCCACACUUCGAUUUGCUGUUUUUUUUUUUUUUGAAUAUGUGAUGUCCCUAAGUCGAGACUUUGGUCAAAUGUGAAAUGAUUUUUCUUUCUUUCCACUCAAAGUCCUUUUCUUUAUAGGAAUAAUAAAUAAAUGAGCAUUGAAAACGCAUUUGAACUGUCAAUUAUCUUUCCUUAUUCGAAAGUUCAUAUAUAAAAAAAUCAAACAAAGAUAUUUUUAAUAAAUAGUUUGAGAUAUAUUUGUGAGUCAAGUUUGUACUUUCUGAAGUUUGAUUUUCUCUCAAUGUCCAUUUAACGUAUAUAGAAUCUGUUCUUUGAGGCUAAUCUAUUUCUCUCUUUCUAUGCGUGGAUCUGCCUCACCGAGUCCACGGGACUCCAAUCCUUACAUCCCUUCGGGCAAAGCUCAUUCUUUCAAGUCAAAAAAUGGAUUAAUGAGCAAAAACAGUUGUUGGUAUACACUGAUAUACACCAUAUUUAUGGGCUUUGCGUGUUAAAAGUAGCUGGUAUAUACUCAAUAUAUGAUGCAUUGCAAAAUUGAAAGCAAGUGUACGAAUUUGCAUACAUGGAUAUACAUCAGAUUAGCAAAAACGCAGGGGAAAAAUAUUUGCAGUAUACAGAUGAUAUACACUGAAAUAAUGGACAGAAAUCCAUGGGAUUUAGGCCCAAAAGCUGGCCAGCCCAUUAAUGGGCCAAAAGGGCCCUAUUUUAACUCUUUUUUUUAUGGGAAAAGGACACCCCAUGGCACUUUUAAAAAAUAAUGGCCCAUGUUUCAAGUUUUGGAAAGAAAUAACACUUCAGAUCUUUUUAAUACCAUUUUUAGCCCUUCCUUUAAUAAGGCAUAAUUCUAUUAGCUAAAGGAAAAAAAAGACCUACAGGUGUCCUUUUUCCGAAAAUAAAAAGACUUAACUGCUAAGUACAAUGUCCUUUUUUCUAGUAUUCUUUUCGAUUAGGGUUUUCUGAAGUCUGUGGUGAUGAAAUUCAAGAAAAAGCUUAAUAUUGAUUCGAAAUUAGCUGGUAAAGGUAUUAGAUAUGAUUCUAAUUUCGCUGUUAGUGAUGAUGAUUUUGAAGAUUUAACAAAUCGUGAUGUUCAGUUGAAGAAUUUGAAGAAUGUUCAUCCUACUUCCAGUCGAAUUAUUAGGUCUCAAGGUAAAUUAUUAGGUGAUCCAUCAAUGGCGGAACAAAAAAAUCAGCUAAAAAAGGCAAAUAGAUGUGAGUGGUGAAGCAGAUCUUGUUGUUCUUCCCAAAAAAAUAAAAAAAAGGAGUCAUUCAAAAAAUGAUGAAGAUGAUGGUAAGUCAUCUAAAGGAAAGAAAAAGAUAAGUGUGAAUGAUAAAGGAGAUACUCUUGUUCCUCCAAAAAAAAAAAAAGAAUUGAUCAAAUGAUGGAGAAGAUGAUGCUCAAUCAUCCAAAAAGAAAAGUAAAAUGGUUUAUGUUCAUUGGAAGAGAAAAAUAUCCAAAUUAACUGAUUUUGGUGUGUGCUUUCUAUCUAUUAAUUAUGUUUGAUAGUUAUUUUAAUUUUUUGUGUUGAAUUUGUGUAUGUUUGAAAUAUGUGUGUUAUUGUUGUAUAUAACAUGUGUCGGUAUUGUAUAUGAAAUAUAUAGGGUUGAGAUAUUUGUGUAAUUUAGUGUAUAGUGGCUAUAUAAUUUUGAGAUAUGUGAUGUUAUUACUAUUUGUGCAUCAACAAUAUAUAAAAAAAUGUGUAUAGUUUGUAUCUUUAUAUUGUUACUAUGUAAAAUUUGUAAUAGUGUAGUAAUGAAUACUUUAUGAGUAAUAUAUGUAGCUUUUUGAAAUAUCUAGACCUUAAAGUACACUAACUUAUUGCAGGUUUGGGAUUUGUUUCUUGGUCCAUCUGAUCAUUACAACUGUCAGCUCAGUGUGCACACAAACUGUGGUAUUAUGAUUGCCUUGAAAUCUAAGUUGGAUAAGAAGCAACUUAAUUUAUUUAAGAAUAGUUGCUUUGGAUAUUUCUUAUCUUUACCAAAUAUUUUUCCUCAAAAUCAACUUAUUCAUGGAAUAUUGCUUAGGAAACUUGUUUGUGAGAGAGAUGAUGAAAUAUGGAUUAAAGUGAAUAACACUAAGUUACGAUUUGACUUAUAAGAGUUUUCUAUAAUUAGCGACUUAAAAUGUAUUGAAAAUUACAAUAACGAGUUUGCUCUUACUCAAAUUUUCCAGAAAAAUUCAAGGUCACAAAACUUGAUUCAGAAAGUGUUUCAUGGAAAAAAGGUGACAAUGUGAUGAAAAUGCUUUACAAAUUUUUAUUUUGUUCUUUAUUAAUACCUUUAUUUUUUCUAUCACGUAUAGUGAUGUUAUAACAAAGAAUAAUUUCUCAUUGGUAGAAUCUGGAAACUAUAAAACAUUUUCUUGGGAAAAAUUUUGUUUUCGUCUGAUGUUGGAGUCAAUGAAGUCUAAGGUUUAUUAGAGAAAAAUUAUGUAUCGUUGUGCUGGUUUCCCCUUAGCAUUUAAGUGUUGGUUUUAUGAGUGUUGUCCUUAUGUUGAUGGUCAUCUUGCUGAUCGAGUUGGUGAUGGUGUGCCACGUAUACUUAAUUGGUUUGUAAAGCAUAAACCAACGUACAAGGAGUUUGCAUUUUUUGAUAUUAGGCAAGAGAGGGUAUAUAGUUGUUUUAAAAUGUAAUGUAUAUAUGUUUUGUUAAAUGGUUAUGUGCUUUUUAACUGUCGGUGUUGUUUUGUAUGUGCAGGUAGUGUUGAGUAAUAUUACGCCGACGAUUCUUGAAAAAUCAAUCCUUUAAUUACCUGAUUUCAAAUCUGUGAAUGCGGUUGUGAACUGUGUUGAUUUGCCUGGUACCAAUAAAUAAGAAUGUAGUCAUUUGAGCUCAGAUAAUGAAUUGACACUUUUGAGAAGUGAUGUUAAAAUGGUACGUGGAAGGUUUUUAUUAAUAUUUGUAUGUUUUUGUUAAUUGAUGUUUUGACUUUUUUCUUUUUAUGUUUAGUUAACGGAAAAGGUUUCCUCGAUGGAGAAGUUUAUGAAAUCCUCAUUUGAAUUGAUUUUUCGAGCUCUACAUAUAAAGAAUGAAUCUAAGGUAUUCUUUUCCUGAAAUUUUCCUGUUUUUUUUAACAAAACUUAUAUACACUAUUGUAAUUAUUUUACAAAGUUUUUUGUACAGCUUGCUACAUCAAAUGGGGAUAACAAUGGUGACAAUUUAAAGAAAAAGAUGAUUAUACACCUAAUGUUGGUGGUAUAGGUGAUGAUCAAGUUGAUGAUCCACUUAAUGUGGGACAACAAAAUGUUGUUGCCCCGGAACUGAAUCAUAUAAGUGACAAUUUGAUGGAUGAUGUAGGGGUGGUGAUGUAUUUGAUCAUUUGGUGGAUGACGUUGGAGAGAGUUAAUUUUGUAGGUGAUUAUGUAGUUGGUCAUGUCGAUGUUGAGUCUGCGGCCGAAACUUUCAAGGAUGGUGCUUGGAAGAAUUUUUCAAAUUUUGAUGGUGUUUGGAAGAAUUUUUCAAAUUUUGAUUUUUUGAAAUUCACACAAAGCUCAGGUGAAAAUAAGGUUAUAGGGAGGGUAGAAAUAGUCAGGUUGACAGUGAUUGGUCCAAUUUUACUGAUUCUGAAGUGUUCAAAUUUACUCAAUCUUUUCGUGAUAAAAAAUACAAAAAGAAGGUGAUGUGGCAGUGCUUAGCCAGAAUGAGUUUGAUUGGUUAGAAAUUUCAGAUGUUGAAAUUUCUAAGUUCACUCAACCCGAUAAGAGUGUUGUAAUGAUUGAUGCAACUGGUUUAGUAUGUGAUAAUGUUAGAAAGGUUGAUGCAAAUGCAAGUGAUAAUGUUAGAGGGAUUGAGGAAAAUAUAGUGGUUGCCUCUGUUAUGUUGGCUGAAACACCUGUUAUUCCUUGCUAUGUGAAUCGUCAUUUUUGUCAAAAUUUGAUUCUGGUUGUGGCAAAGUUGAAGGUCAACCAUCUAAGCGUAUAGAGAAUGCUUAGCCAAGAAAACGCCUUUUGUCUAUAAAGCAUUCUUUUGUGAAGAUUAUUACGGAGCGAAUUGAUGAUAUGAGACUGACAUUAUAGUUUAACAGGUUUGUUGCCAGAUCAUUGUACAUUAAAUAGAUCCAAGUUUUCUGUUUGUAGUUUUUUUUUCGUUUUACUUUAUUUUGUCAUAUAUUAUAAUUUUUGUAACAUUUUUUCACAUGUCUGUUUAUUCAGAUUCUAUCAAUGCUCUCCCAAAAUAAUUUGACUAUGAAGUUGAUACCGUUAAAAUGAAAGAGUGGUUACAUUGGCAUAUCCAGAAAUACCCUUAACCGAUUAAGUAAGUAAUGAAUUUAUUAGUUAAGUAGGUUAUAUAGCUUUUAUGUUUGUACUUGAUAGUGAUAAGCUAAUUGGAAUAUUAAAUUUUUGUUUAUGAUGCAUGUUAUAUAAGUAGUUUGUAUUUAUUAGAUUUUAAUUAGUGUUCUGUAUUUAUUUUUAGCAUUUUAAUGUGGUUUUAUUGUUCGUAUUUUCAGCAUGUUGAUGUUAUCUUUUACUAUUUGCGAAAGAAGUCAAAAUACGAGCCUAUUGAUGGUUCAAUUAAAUUUACAAUCACCGGUUGUUGGUUUAACUGCUUGAUUCAAACUUUAUAUAAGCGUUUAUGGAGAACAAUGAAAAUGUAACACUUAUCACUCAAGAACAUUAAAUUGUUGAGUACAUGCUUGAAUUUUUUAUGAGAUGCAAAGUCCCAUGGAAUAGCAUUGACAACGUUCUUUUCCCAAUUAAUCUCGUUGAGGAGUUUUACUGAAUUUUGGCGAGGCCGUGUUUUAAAGAUCAGUGCAUAUAUGUGUAUGAUUCAAUGCAUGGUGCAAGGCAUAUCAUUCGUGUUCAGAAAUUAGUUGCAGCGUAUUCAGAGUUAAUUCCACACUUUUUUCUUGUAUUGAAUUUUGGAAAGUAGGACGAUGGACUUUCAGUGGCUAAUUCUUUUGAUAUUAGUAUUGUUGAUGGACUACCAACUCAAGCCAACACGUAAUAUAUUGAAUAAACAUUCAGUUGCUCAUUUUUAAAUAAUUUUUUGUCAACUAUACUGAUGAUGUAUUAUGUUGCAAGGACUGUGAUGUAUUUGUUGUUGCCUUUUCUGAGUAUUUGCUUGAUGGUCUUGAAAUUUCUAAUCAUCUAGAUAAUAUUAAUGCUAUUCAAAUUCGGUAUGGUGUGUUGUUGUGGAAUUAUGGAAAGAAGAAAUAAAGACAAUGUGCAGUUAGUGAAGAUGAAUCUAUUGGUCAAUCGUUGAAGAAAAAUGAUGGUGUGCAGCAAAUUUAGUUAGGAAUGUCUUUAAAGCAUAGAUGUGAAAUAUAUGUUUAGUGUUGAAAUGCUUAGUGUUGUUUUUGUUUUGUGUUGAUACACUGGAGAUUCUUAUCGUGAAAUGUUAUGUUGAAUACUGUAUGUUUUGACAUUUGAUAUAAUUUUGUACAAGUGAUUUUUGAUUUUAUGAAAAGACAAUAGUAGUGCAUCUGUUAGUUUAUUUUGAUCACAAUUUAUAUGCAAUAUAGUUUAUAUGCAACAUUGAUUUAGUUUCUAUGCAGUAGUUACACGGUUUAACUAAGGUAUUUCUACAAUUUCAUACAUUUAUCCCAACCACAUAGAACUUAUAUAUUGUUGAAAUAAAGUAGUUAUAUAGUUUAUAAAAGUAGUUUUAUAAUUUAUAUUCAAAAUAUAGAGGUGCUAUGCAUUCGCUAAUUAAUGUUAGUCCUAUAUCCAAACCAUAUAGAGGUCCUAUAUAUGAUUGGCACUGAUAUAUAUCAGUGCAGUAUAAAUCUACCAUUACUGUUUUAACAUGUGAAGUGUUAUUUAAACAAGACGUUAAAGAAAAAAUGAAGUAAAAUAAUUUAGAUGACUAUUCUUAUGAUUAAACUGUUAAAUGUAUUUUUAAGAAAUGUGCGAAAAAUUCAAAAGAAAAAUACUACUACUUAUAUAUUCAACCUGUAUAUAGGUAUUAUACAUCACUGACACAGAUAAUAUGCAAUCUUUUUAGGUAUUGUCGAAGAAAAACUACCCUUCCCAACUCAAAGGAGUUGAUUAGUGCACAACACCAAAGAAUGUGCCUAAAAUGAAUGAAAUACCAUAAUGCACAGAUUUCUAUAGUUAGAGUACGAAUGAAAUUGAAAUUAGAUAAUUUCACCAUAAAAAGACAUAAGCAUUAUUCUAUAAACUGAAAGUGUUGUUGAAGUAAAAUAAUAUCGUUGUAGCGGAGGCUAUUACAUUGCUAUGUAAAGAAUAGUCUUUUUUCAAGGAAAAAAAAUGAGAAAGAUAGAAGUAUUCUUGUAGCAACAUCCUAUUAGAUUCUUGUUGGAGCAUUUCCACAUGUUCUUCGAUUGUGUUUUAUUUUUCCACACCGUCCACAUGAAAUUUGUUGCUUAAAGUAGUCCAUAAUGCCCUUUCCUCGAUUGUUAUUUUUUGAUCUACCUGGUCUUGAUUUUCAUUGGUGGCAAUACUAUAUUAGCUGAUAUCUCUGAUGGAAUGUGCCAAGCUAUUUCAUCAGGAAGUGGUAUAACUGAAAGUUCAUAUGCUUUUAAGAAAUUUUUUUUUGUGUAAUAUAAAGCACAAUAGCUUUGUAAGUCCAUAUGCGUGUAAGUUAGCACCGCCAUAGCAUGUGGACACGGUAUGCCAUCUGCUUGAAAUUAUAAGUGAGAGUAUUUUUUUAACGCAUGCAUAAAAGGUUUUGUUUUCUAGUUUCGUCAAUCACUACAUAAGAAUAGUGAGUAGAACCCAUCGCCUGCAAUGUACAAAUGUAUUAGUAAAUAGUGUGGCACAUUAGAAUAUGUAAGUGUCUGUGAAGUAGAAAUAAGAAGUUAUACCUUCAUUUUAUCUGACAGAAUGAGAUUUUUCCUUGUUAUUAUAUUGUAUUUGUUUCCCAGUUCUGUAAAUAUUGCUUCCAAAUGUUGUCUAUGUUUAUUAUUUCAUCUCAUGACCGGAUCCAUCAUGAAUUGUAGAAAUUUUUUAAUUGACAGGUCUCUUGCAUCUCUAUUUGAUGAAUUUAGGGACUCUGCUAUGUUUGAAGUCAUGAACAUCGACCUGUUAACAUGUGAAUGAGAUAUGGACCAUUUUUCAUAGCCUAUAUCAAAUAGAUACUCCUUCACCCUAUUAUCAAUUUUGUUUAUUUCUUUUAUAAGACGAUCAAAGUCUGUCUUUAUGUAUGUUCUGGCCAUUGUAAAGAAGAUCCCCUUUAAUUACUUUUGAUUCUUCUUAAAUCUACCCUUGAUGUUGUUCCAUAGAUGGUAGAUGCAUAUACAAUGAGCCACAUUUGGAUAUACAAUUGCUGCAUCUUUUAAUAUGCUAUCAUGCCUCUCAGAUACUAUGCGCAUGCCUUCUCUUUCUCCAAAAGUAAUGUUAAAUAUGCGAAAAAACUAUUCCCAUGAAGCGUCAUUUUCAUAAUCAACAACAACAUAUACUAGUGGAAAAAUAUGUCCUGAUUAAGCAAGUGAAAAAGUGUCUAUCAGUGCAUGACAGCAUAUACAUUAUUUUGUCUAAAUAAGUUUCAGAAAACUCACUUGCUGGAUCCAACACACUAGAAGACAAUAUUGUCCCCUUGUAUGCAGAUUUUGGAAAAGUUUCAUCAACAAUAAUAAUAGGCAUACAAUAUCUCCUGACCUUAAUUGAUGUGUUCAACACGAUAAAAGCAUAUAAAAUGUGAUUGUCCUUCGUUUGGUGUAGCCUUGUGAGCAAUUCUGAAUUUAUUGUGUUUACCAUGUAUAGGUAAGCUGACAAUUUAGCAUAAAAUUUACGCAGGAAACCUCUAACCAGUUCAAGUGCUUUUUCUUUGGCUCUAUAUGCUUUUUUGUAGUUCAUCCUAAUUUUAUACAAGUUUCUCAUUUCAUCCAUGAUCUCUGUUGGAGUGUAUCUUGACUUUAAAUUUAGAAAGUUGUGCUUCACCAUUUUAACAAUGGUUAAUGAAGUAGCAUGUCGUUGUGAAAGUAUUCAGUCUGUAAUUGGACAGGUGGGAUCAUCAACAAAUUUUGUCACCAUGAAAACUAUUGAAUUUUGUUGACUUGAAGAUCUAAAAAUUCAACUGCAUCUUUGAUUGAUACACUUAAGAUAGUACCUAGAUACAUUUAUAUACAAUAAUGGUAUAUUUAUAUAAUAUGGGUAUACAGUAGGUACACAGUUCAUAUGCAGUAUUUUAUAUGCAGUAUAUAUAUAGAUCAUAUACAGUAGUUACACAGUAGGUACACAAUUUAUAUGCAGUACUUUAUAUACAGUAUAUAUACAGGUCCUAUACAGUAGUUACACAGUAGGUACAUAGUUUAUAUGCAGUAUAUAUACAGGUCCUAUGUAGUAGUUACACAAUUAUAUGAAGUAUUUAGGCAAGUUUAUACCUAUAUUUCAACAAAAUAUAAAUCUUAUACAUUGUUGAUACAGGUUAUAUAAAGUAGUUAUAUAGUUUAAUAUCCAAUAUAUAUGCAUAUUCUAUACAGUAGUUACACAAUUUAUAUGUAGUAUUUAGGCAAGUUCAUUGUUAUAUCCAAACAACAUAUAGACCUUAUACAUUGUUGAUACAUGUUAUAUAAAAUAGUUAUAUAGUUUAACAUCGAUAUACAUAUCAACAAAUUUUGUCACCAUGAAAACUUCUGAAUUUUGUUGACUUAAAGAUCUAAAAGUCCAAUUGCAUCUCUGAUUGAUACAGUUAAGAUAGUACCUAGAUACAUUUAUGUACAAUAAUGGUACAUUUAUAUAAUAUGGGUAUACAGUAGGUACACAGUUCAUAUGCAGUAUAUAUACAGGUCCUACAAAGUAGGUACACAGUUCAUAUGCAGUACUUUAUAUGCAGUAUAUAUACAGGUUCUAUACAGUAGUUACACAAUAGGUACAUAGUUUAUAUGCAGUAUAUAUAGGUCCUAUGCAGUAGUUACACAAUUAUAUGCAGUAUUUAGGCAAGUUUAUACCUAUAUUCCAACAAAAUAUAAACUUUUAUACAUUGUUGAUACAUGUUAUAUAAAGUAGUUAUAGAGUUUAUACCUUGAUGAUGAUGAUAUUUUCACCUUAAAUUGAAAUAUCUCACAGAUUGCAUAAUAUCUCGUCAAACUUGAUACUGUAUUUUUAUCCUAGUACAGUUGUUCUUCUUCAACAUCUCUAUGAAGUGGAUCUUUUAUUAUAGAUUCGGGUUCUUCUUCCAUUUCUUCCUUAGAAGAAUUAUCUUCAAUUGUAUAAUCAGCAAUAGGUAUUGGAUGAACUUGAAUAGCAGUCGGAGAUAUUUCAAUCAAAUUUUCAAUUGAAGAUUUUCCAUUUUCAAAUGCGUUUUGUAAUGUUAUACACAAUGAAAAUUCAUUUAUAUUCAAAAAAAAAUUUCUUCAUCUCCAUAUAAAGUCUAACACUCAUAUCAUUGAAAAUAGUGAUAAAUUCACUCUUUACAAUGUAUUUUAUCAUCAUUAAACCAGAAUUUCGCUCUAGAUUCAACUGCUUAUACAGUUCAUCAAUAAAAUAUUCGUACCUGCAAUCCGAAUUCAAAAGUACUCCAUUGAUUGUAAUUUUUUCAAAUUAGAUAUCACUUAAUCACUCUCCUCCGUAUUGUAGCAUAAUUGAAACUAAAACUGAACUUGAAACCAUAAUUUCGUAUCAAUUUCAGCUAAUUGUGAAUGAAAAAUACUUUAUGAAGCUAGUUGACUGAGGAUUUUUAUAGAUUUAUAUACAAUUUAUGAAAAUAUUUCAGGUAAUAUGUUUUAUCUGAAAAAGGAAUUGUGAGGUUUUAAUGAAAAGGGAAUCCUGAGGUAAAAUUGAGGAAGGAAAGUAUGAGUUUUAAUCGAAAAGAAAAUAUAUUUAUUAGCCUAAUUUCGUGGUAUUUUUUUAUGGUUAGACGAUGGAAUUAGUUUAACGGCUAUUAAGAGGGAAUUAAAAUUAGGAGCUAUUUUUGCGGAAUUAGUUUUAUGCAAGGGGCUAUUUUUGUCAUUCUUUAUUUCCCAUUCUUACUUAUUUGUAUUUACUUGAACACUCUAACUAAUCAAUCUAGAUAAAUUUCCUAAGACGUUUCCAUUCUAUUUUAUCACAACUUUUAGUCAAUUCGCAGUUUUCUCACCUAAUUCAUCUCGUCUAAAAGAAUUAAAGUGGUUCUGUCAAUUUUUAUUUUUUUUAUUUUUAGUUAUUUAAUUUUUCUCUAAAACUAAUCUUAAAAGAAAAGUUGUUAAGCAUUUUAUUUUAAAAUGACAUUUGUCUUGUUCAUAUGACUAACAGCCUACUUGGGUUAAAAUAAUUUACUUCAAACCAAGAAAAUUAAUUUUUUUCAUUAACCCUAAUUUUUCAUAAUUGAUAAAAUAUUUUUAACAUGACAUUUCCCUAACAUUUUCCAAAAGUGUUAUCUAUAACAAAAUUGACCUUUUUCUUUUAUGUAUAUAUAAUAAAAGAAAUGAUACUAAUGAUAAUGAUGAUAAUAAUAAAAAAUAAUUAUGUAAUUUCUUUUUUUAUCAUAAAAACACAAACUUAUUUCCUUCUUAAAUUCAAGUGUACCACUUAAUUUAAAUAGGUUUCUCUUUAAUUCAAGUAGAAUAUUUCGUAAUUUUUUUUCUUAGAAAUAACUAUGAAAUAAAUAGAAUUUUCUCAAUUAGAAUGUUCCUUGGCUUUUUUUCUCAAAUUCAAACUUUUCGUGAUUAAUUUUGAAUUAAGUAAAGUAUUUCUCGAGUAGAAUAUUUUGUAACGUCUCUAAAAAGUCAAUCGUGAAUUAAGCGAAAUAUUUCAUAUUUUUUCUUAGAAAUUAGUAAUGGAUUAAACGACACAUGUUGUAGAUUUUUCUAAUACAAGUAGGAUAUUUCUCGUUUGAAUAAAUAAAUGUCAAUUUUAAAUAUAUAAAUAAAUAAUUUUAUAAAAGCAACCCUUUUGCAAAGUUAGUCAUCCUUUCAAGUUAGUCAAAAAUGAUCUUUUGGUGAACCAUUUUAAAACAGAAGCUCCUAGUGUCGUAAAAACCUUCUUAAGGCGUUAAUUGAACCCUUAUUUAGUUUCUCUAAUUUCAAAGAUUUAUUUCUAUUUUUGAAUCUUUGAAAUUUCUUAAAGUGUUUUUCUUGAUAUUUUUUUCUAUAAAAAUCAAGUGGCGAUUCUGUAAAUUCUUAAAAAAAUUAUUUUGAAUUUUUGAAAUAAUUUUAAAGAGGUCAAAACCAUUUUCUUCAAAAUAAAAUUUGAAAAGGGAUAAAACAAAAUGAAUGGGUUAUGUGAAACUUGUUUUAAUUAGGCUUAAAGGGGGUUGUGCAGCUAGGCCGUAAAGGUGAGGUCUCGGAAGGACUGAUACUGAAACUCACGUUUGUUGGCGUAAGGGUUGGUCUUGAUGACUAUGUGCUUGUGUCAAACACACACACACACACACACACACACUAUAUAUANNNNNNNNNNNNNNNNNNNNNNNNNNNNNNNNNNNNNNNNNNNNNNNNNNNNNNNNNNNNNNNNUAUAUAUAUGCAUCCUGGAUUGACGUGGGGUCGGGGCAUUCCUUGGAUAUCUCUAGUUAGUGCGACGAACAGGCACUGGGGCCCUUUCAGCAGAGGGAGAUGGACCCAUAUAGCCCAUGGGUGUUUUUAUAACGGUUGAGCUACACGGUCCAAGCUAAUAUUUUACUUUCAUGCUAAACCUCAUUUUCUAUCCCGACAUAUUAUAUAUAUGUAUAUGAUUGUGUCAUUAGUUUUGAAUGGUUUUAGACUGACUCAAUCAUGACAUUAUUUUUUCCUUAUCCUGAGUUACAUGCUAGCACUUACCUCGCUAACCGUCUCCGAAUGUUGUAUCCCCACGCGAUGCAGGAUCGGAGACACUUUUAUUUUUUCUGCGUAAUGUUAGGUGAUCCAUAGAUUGCUCGUGAGUCAUCUUGAAAUGGUGAGCUUCUAUUCUUCGGAAGACCCUCAGCUCUUGUUUUGGUUUCACUAUGUCGUAGACUAUUUUCAGUUUCUUUUUUGCUAUCGUCGAGGGUAUGUCCCGACUUAGAUUGAUGUUGAUUUCUUAGAGGCUUAUGGAUUACUGUGGAUUGGGAUGGUUGUUGAAAUUCUUAGAUUUUUUUUUGGGUUAAUUGAAUUGCCUAUCUUGUUAUAUGUUUGAAAUUCAUCUGCUGGUAUUUGUAUUGUAUUCUGAUUGGCUAGGGUAAAGGGAGUGGUCUCCGAUCCUCGACGGACUUGAGGUACCUGUCACGAUCAGACCCUGAUUUGGAUCGUGACACCCCCACAAAAAAGAAGAAGCUAAACAACUCAUAUUUCAAAUAUUGUAUCGAUUGAUAUCUGAUUUAAUUUAACAACGGACAACUCUCUCUAAAUAAUAAAAUUUCUAAGCUAAUUUAUUAAAUAAAUUUAUUAGUACAAAUAUAAAAAAAAUCAAGAAAUAAAAAAAUACUUAAAAGAAUUUGAAGAAUAUUUUUAUUUUUAUAUAUAUUAGUUUCAUAGUAUUAAAUCUUAUGUAUUACUAAUACCACAAAAUAGAAGGUAUUAGUUAUUCAAUCAAUAAUAUCAAGUAGGGUGUAUUAUUAGUUAUACAUAAGCCCAAAUUCCUACCAAACAUAGUACUAAAUAAAAAGAAUUAAAGAAAGUAGCAUACUUGAGAUUAUAAUUACAAUAAAUAUCAAUAUUUUUAUAAAAUUACAGAUUAUAGCAGCGGUAGCAUUAUUUUAUUCAUUAACUAGGCAAGUGCAUGUUUUACUCUUAUUACCUUACAUUUUCCUAUUUUCGCCCCACUAUUUCACCUCCCCAAAAUAUAGCAUAUCUUUUACCCUUUUUUGUCACCUUAUUUUCUUUAUCAUUUUUUUUUAAUUUUAUUUUUAUUUUUUUUGUAUUUGCACUUUAUUUUCUCUCUUAUAUUUCUCUUCUUUUUUCCUUUUUCCUUUUUUUUUUUGUUUUUUUUUCUUUUUCAUAUUUGAAGAUAAUUAUCUUCAUGAUCUGCAAAAUUUCAAAAUAAAACAUCAUUAUUGUCUUUCACUAUCUUAUGUCUCUACCCUUUUUUUUUCUUGUUAACUUUUUUUAUCUUAUUUUUUUAUCAUUUUAUUUUUUAUUUUGAUUUCUUUUUUUUUUUUAUUUCCACUUUAUUUUCUCUUUUCUAUUUCUCUUUUUUUUCUUUCCUUUUUCCUUUUUGUUUUUCUUCCUUUCUCAUAUCUUUUUUUUCUUUUUCUAUUUUCAUUUUCUUCUUCUUUUUUUAUUUUAUUUUGUUUCUUUUUUCUUUUAUUUUUGCACUUCUAUUUCUCUUUCUUUUUUUUUUUCCCUUUUUCAAUUCUUGUUUUUUCAUUUUUUUCUUUUUAUAUUUUUGUUUUUUCCCCUUUUUUACUCUUCUAUCUCUAACUUUUAUUUUGAAAAGACAAAUAUGUAUAUCACAUACACAUAUUCAAAAAAUAUACAAAAUACAUAGCCAUACAGAUCUGGAUAUGUAUUUAUGAUACAAAACAUACAUAUGUAUUUACGAUAUACAUAUCAUAUUCAUAUUAAACAGUAACAAAAAUAACUAUACUGUAUAUCUUCAUAUAUAUUUGCGAAAUUCAAAGGUGACUCAUAUAAAAUAAGAAUAUACAUAUGAAGCAGGUAUUAUUCUGUAAAUACAUAAGUAGAGCUAUAUGUAUUUUAUACGGUAUUGGAUUUAUCUUUGAACUGUACAUACCAUGACAUUUUAGAGGGUAACAUAUGUACUUAUUUGUUUUCUUUUACUGUUUAAGAUAUCUAUCAUGUAUUUUUUUAUUACCUUUAUGUAUAUGUAUAUAAUUGUCAUUUUGUUAUACAGAGUUUGUGUCAUAUAUGUUUACAUAUACAUGUGAGUCAGAUAUGUAUUUCUGUAAAUACAUAUGCAUAUUUUUUUUACCGCAAAUACAUAUGCAGGUCUGUAUGUCUAUUUAAUUUGUAUAUUUUUUUAAUAUGUAUAUAUCAUAUAGAUAUUCAUCUUUUAAAAAUAAAAUAUAAAGAUAGAAGAGUAAAAAAAAAAGGAAAAAGGAAAAAAUAAGAAAGAGAAAUAGAAACUAGAAAUACAAGUGUAAAAACAAAAGCAAAAAAAAAAACGAAAAAGAAGAAGAAGAAGAAAACGAAAAAAAUAUGAGAAAAGAAAAAAAAAAAGAAAACGAAAAAAGAAAAAAUAAAUAAAAAAGGAAAAAGAAAAAAAAAGUAGAAGAGAAAAAAUAAAGUGAAAAAGAAAAAGAAAUUAAAAUGAAAAAAAAAAGAUAAAAAAAAUGAAAAAACUAAAAAAAUAAAUAGUUAAAAUAAAUAGUUAGAGAUGUAAGAGAAUGAUAUUUUGAAAUUUUGAAAAUUAUGAAAAUAAUAAUCUUCAUAUUUGAUUUUGAUUUGGAAAAGGAAUCUACUAAUAUAAAUAAGAGUAAUUUAUGAGAAUUUAAUUAGAUGUGAUAAUUAUUCCUUAUUUAACUCAACUAAUUUGAAUAAAACAAAGACAGUAAAUCUUGUUGUAUAUGAAUUUGUAUAGCAACAAUUUACUUAAAUACAAAAUACAAUUUGUUAUUUUUUGUAAUUAUCUGUUGCUAUAAAAAUUACAAUUAAGGCUCUAUAAUUACUAUUUCUGAAAUUUUUCCUACUAAAUAAUAUCAUACAUAAUAUAUGGAUUAUUUCUCCUAAUACACCCUACCAAACGGAUUCCUCAGUGGAUCCAAAAAAAGAUGGCCCAUAUCAAAGAAGGAAAAAAUCAGAGCCAAGCCAUGUGAUAGACGCUAGAGAAGUGGGAGCUUUGAUUGUUAUAUUUGUUGUUUGAUUGGGAAAGACUUAUUUUGAGAUAAUUAAUUUUGAGAUUAUUUAUUUUGAAAAUUAUUUUCUCACUAUAUAUAUGGGAUAAUUUAUCCAUCACUAUGUUAUAGUGGGAUAAAUAAUCCUAGUACUAAUUAAUAUCUCACAUUAAAUAUGAAAUAAAAUAGUCCUUCAUUUUAUUCGAGACUAUUUAUCCCUUAUACCUCACACCAAACGAAGUAGUCAGCCACUUAUAUCUCACACUUGCUUUGCUACUGGUCCAGUUUUAAUACUAUAUGAAAUCUAGGACGAAUAAAAGAUAAUUAAUUUUAAGAUGAACUUAUUUCAUAUUUAGUUGACAUAAAAUGUAUGAAAUAAUUCAUCUAUAAAUUAGUUAUCACGAGAUUGCGAUUUAUUUUUAUUCCUUUUGUGGGUUGAAUAAUUAAUUUUAGAAUAGCUAGUCUUAAAAUUUAUAAUUUUAAAAUAAUUUAUUUUUCAAUCAAAUGAUCCAGUAAAGCCAAUUUGGAAAAGCAGAGACACAAAACUUUUCGUUAAAUUUGAAACAACUAGAGAGAAUGAAAAGCUUGUAUGCUUUGUGGAUCAGUCAAAUCUACGAAUAGAGAAGAGAAAAUUUCUCAAAUGAGAAAUAUUCUCAUUUUCAAUUCAAAAAUUGUACUCCUUUUAUUUUGGAAUAAGUGAAUUGUUGGGGUAUUUAUUGGUAUUUUAAAAUAAGUUAAUCAUUAAUUUUUUUUUUUUAAAUUUGCCCUUAUGAUUUGACAAUCAAUUAACUUUUAAAAAAGUAUUACAAGAUAAAUUUUUCUUUUUUUAGGUAAAAAUAAAAAAUUAUGUUAAAUUUAUGUAUUUAAUAUUUUUUCUUAAUAUAUGUGUCAAAAUUUCAUAAUUUAUUAAAACGGAGGGAGUAAGUUUGAGUCACAAAAAGAUCCAAAAAAAAAAAAAAAAAAAAAAAAAAAAAAAAAACAAAGAAAAAAAAAAGUGAGCUCAUGGUAAAAAACCUGUACAGUUUUGCGGCCGAGAAAGUUUAUGGAUAUUCGAUUCAAACGCUGUCAUUUGAUUAGUCGCAACAACUUGUACGUGCACGCACUUCAAAGAACUUUAAAUAUACAAGGUUUGAUGUUACUUUCGACAAAAUCUAACUUCACCCAUAAUGUACAAAAUUUCAUAUGGCUUGAGGUAUGUCAUUUUUGUCAAAUAGAAUCACAUUUUGUUCAAACUUAGCCUUUCAUGGCUAAAGUUCAAUAAAAUGACUGAAAUCCAAUUAUUUUUACCUAAAAUAAAAAUAAUUGAAAUUCAAUUACCUUUACCUAAAAUCGAUACUCAUUUCAGACAUUGUGUCUGAAGUUUAAUUUAAAUAUAACUUAUAUAAAUUUUAAAUUUUAAUAGGUUGUAAUAUUUUUAUCAUAAUUUUAUUAAAUUACAAGAUAUUCUGAAUUUUGAUUUUUGUAAUACAUAUUGUUAGCCUUGAUACAUAUGCAUUGUAAUACAUUUGUAACUGAGUGGUUAGUUAAAUAAAAAAGUAACUGAUUUUCAAUUAUUAUGGAGAAGUAAAUCACGCGCAAAUCAUGACAUAAAAUUAAGAAAGUAACUAAUUUAUCAUUAUGAUAUAUCUGGUAAAAUUAUUCAAUAUCUCAUUCAAAAUUCAAUCUCAAAUAAAAAUAAACAGUUUACAUAUGUCAAACAUAUGUUAAAUGUACCAAACACUUAUAACUGAAUCGAAAAGUAUUUAUCAUAUGUAUCACCAGUAUUCUGACGACAAAUGUAUCACUUAUAUCUAUCACCAAUAUACUGAUAUCAAAUGUACCACUCAUAUGUAUCACUGUUUACAAUACGAAAAUAUAUCGAGAAUUUAACAACAUUAUAUAUGUAUCAAACACAUUAAUCAAAAAUAUAUGUAUCGAUGCCGACAGACCAUUGCAGUGGUCAUCCUCAUUGUCAUGGUUCCGUCGAAAAUUUUGAGAUUUUUUAGCUUCUACAGUAUGAAAAUUCUUUAAAAGAACAUGAAUAUUUGUCAACAUGAAGCACACAGUAAAACUUUUAAAAUUUUAAGAAAAAAAAUUAAUAUAGAUGGAAAAAAAUUGAACCAAAUUAUAAAUUGCAAAUGAUAAGACUAAAUGAAAAAAAUUUUAAUUUGAGUUUUUUGUUCUAGAUAUUUAAGAAAUUCUCUCCCAUUAUUUACUCUCCUAAAUAAAUGAAAUCUGUUACUUUCUUAUUUAAUAUGUAUCAAGAGAGAAAGAAAGAAUAUGAAAUAUUAUGAAAUGUUUUAAAAGAUAAGUGAUUUUAUAUAUUUAUGCCUCUUAAAUUUAUAUUUUUGCGUAAUUUAUUCUUAAAUAAAAUCUAUUUUCAUGUGUGAAUGUUUAAAAUUUUGUUCUUGUGGGACUUACUAACACAUAUAUAUAGCAUGCUUGAAUACGCUUAUUUUUCUUUCAAAAAGCUUAUUUUUUCUCAAAAGUACUUAGAGGGUGUUUGGAUGAUAUUAAAAGUUGGUCAAAAUAGCUUUUAAGUUAUUUUUUUACUUUUUGAAGUAUUUGAAAAAUUGUAUUAAAAAAAUCAAAAAUUAUUUUUUUAAAGCCAAAAGUAUCUUGACCCCUACUUUUUUAUUUUUGGCUUAAAAGUCAUUCUAGUUUGACCAAGUAAAAGACAUCUUUUUCCCUCAUAAUUCUCACAUAUUUUAAAAUUACCCUCAUGUUUGUCUCAUAACAUUUGUUUACUUCUACCAUUUUUGUGUUUUCUCUCUAUUUUUGUGUUUCUCUCUUCAUAUUUGUAUUUCUCUUUCCAUUUUGUGUCUUUAUUUUUUUUAAGGUUGCUAGCAAUUUGAUGCUUGUGGAGUUUAUGAGAAAUUGAGAAGAAUUAUUUUUUUGGUAGUUCAUUUGAUUGAAAAAAUAAAUUUUAAUGGGUCGUUAGCAAUUUAGCUUCUUUUUGGGUGACUUUUGUUUAAUUUUUCUGAAAAAAAUGGAAAAUCAAUAAAUCUAUUUAGCUGAAACAAUAAUUUUUGCUCCUUUUUAGUAUGUUUUGUUCAAUUUUUAGAAGGAAAAAAAUUCGUAAAACGAAAAUGAGUUAAUUAGUGUGGCAAAAUUCUCAAAGAAAAACGAAUCUAUAUAAUGAACCAACAAAUUUUGCUCCUUUUUGGAUCUUUUUUCUUCAAUUUUAAGAAGAAAAAUGAAGCACAAGUAACUUAUUUUUCAUGAAAAUGUUCUUAAAAAAUAAAUAUAUUAAGUAGUUUAUACUGAAAUUGAAUUAAAAUAUAAAUUAAUUUUAAUUUAAAUUAUUUUAAAAAUAAAAUCUAAUAGUAAUCAACUUUAUAUAAUGUUAAUAAUUAUAAGGAUAUUUUAGAUAUUUUGACUAAAAGAAAGUGUUUAACAACAAUCGUCUACCAAAUACAUCUACAAUUUUUUUCAGUAUUAGCAAUUUUAUCCAAAUACGUAAUUGUUUAUUUUUAAAAGAAAUUUCAGUACUUUCACAAACACUUUCAAAAACCACUUUUUUUUUCAGCCUAUCCAAACAGACUCGUAUUUUAAAAAUAAGAUAUUUGAUUAAGCAUUCAAAAAUAAGUACUUUUGAAAGUAGAAAAAUUAAUUUUUUAUAAGCUAAAAAAUAGCUUCUUGCUAAGGCAUUUAUUUGAAAAAUACUUUUUGAAAAGGUAUACUUAGAAACACACAAUUUGACCGAAUAAUAAUUAUUGCUCAAAAAUAUAUUUUAAAUUUAUUAAUCAAACACAAACUGUUUUUCACCAAAAAUAUAUUUUAAAAAAUAUUUCUGAAAAAAAUACUUUUCAAAAUAAGUAUUUUAGAAGCUUAUCGAAUAGAUUAAUGACUCCCACGGGUAUUAGUAUAUGAAAAAAAAUUGACUCCCUUUGUUUUUCUUUUUUUCUUUUCAUUCCUUGUUUGUUGGUCAGGUUUGGAGGAGAUAACUUUGAAAUUCUUUUUGGCGAAAUGGUCUCGUGAACUUUUGUAUUUGUUCGAAUUUGUAAAGUGAACGUCUCUACUUAAACUUUUGUCAUCUGAACCCUUCAACUCAAUAAAAUUCAAUACUUUAUACCCUAUUUCGAUAUGUGUAACACAAUUACUGCCACGUCAGUUUCCACAUAAAUUUCACGUCAUUUUUCAAUUAGAGAUAGAAAAUAAAUAAGCUUACCUCCCCCUCCUCCUCCCAACGUCAGCUUUCACAUAGAUUUCACAUCAUUUUUCAAUCAGAGAUAUAAAAUAAUUUUUUUUUUUUUUAAGAAAAAAGCUUACCUCCCCCUCCUUCUCACCCCCCCCUCUUGAUCUUUAGUCUUCAUUAACAUCUCAUUUCGUCUCCUCUCACCUACAUUUUUGAACAUCACCUUCAUUAGCCAUCUCUAUAUGACAUUUGAAAAUUCACAUCACAAAUGAAUUGAAAAAAAUUGAGAAAUUUACUUGUAAAAAUUAUAGAUUUUGAAAUUUCUUGUUUAGUUUGAAAAGAUUUUUAGUUAGAAUUAUUAAUUGAGAAAAUUAUAAUUUUGAUAGUUUGAUCUCAAUCAUUAAUUAUAGUUUUAAAGACGAUAAAAAAAAUAAAGGAGUGGAGAUACGAUGGUGGUGGAAAAUGAAGGAUUAGAAAUCCGUUAAUGGUAAAAAUGAAGAAUAAAAGACGGGUAAUGAAGGGGGUAGGAGUAUGUGGUGAGGGCAGAGGCGGAUCUAGAAUUUAAAUGUUGUGAAUUUCUAACUUAUAAUUUUUACCACUAGAUCAAUAACGCACUUUGUUUUUGUGGGUUCCCAAUUUAUAAUUCUUAUAUAUUUAUUAGUUUUUUCAAUAUAAAUUUAAGAACCGUACAAAAGUUAUUGAUUCCCGAGAAUCCACACGUAAAAUUGUGCAUUCGCCCCUGAGGAGGGGGAGGUAGGAGUUGGAAAUGAUGCCCACUCGGACUAAUGCAUGUAACACGCCGUGUCCAACUUAACCACCUUAAUGCCAUAUAAGUUUGAUUACCAGUCAAAGAAAUUUAAAAUAUUGUGUUUUGAUAAAUUGAGGGGUUCAAAUGACAAAGAAUUUAGAAGAAAAAUCCACUUUACAAACAAAAAUAAAUACAAAAAUCCACGAGACCAUUUCACCGUUCUCUUUAAUUCUUAUACUUCAGAAUUACACAGGUUAUGUGAGAAAGCAUCGUCUUUUUUUAAAAUUUCAUCAGGUAUUCUUUAUAUGGGAAAAAGUAAGAACAACCUACACUGACGAUGCACUUCCCUUACAAGAAAUUAUUGGAACACAACAGUAUCUUAUGUAUUAAAAAUAACUCUUUGACAACUUUUAUUUGUUAUACUCCCUCCGUUCCUGAUUAAUUUUAUUAUUAUUAAAAAUAAAUAUUCAUUAAUAUUUGUUAUUUUAUAAAUGAAAUAUAAUUACUUAUGUGUUUUUCUUUUUACCCUAUUAAAUACAGGUAAUUUAAUAAAUUUAGCAUGUUGUUAAUUUUUUUGUCGAAGUAAGUGCAAACAAAAAUACGACAACCAUGAAACAAAUUUAGAAACGAUUGUCCAAACGAAAACUAGCAAAAAAAAAAAAAAAAAAAAAAAGGAAAUGGAAAAUUUAUUUCAGUUUAUACCGAACACUUCAAAUGACCUUUUUGGAUGGCAGAUAAAAGCGAAGCUUCCAAAAUGUUUUUAAGAAUAAAUAAAGAAAUUUUGUAGUUACUUUUCGAAACUCAUUUUUCUUAAAGGGAAAAUAUUUUUUAAAAUAUAUCAACGAACCAAACAUAAAAAAUAAAAAUACAUUUUCCUCCUUAUCAGAUGCACCCUAAACAAAUCGAAAACAGUUUCCUCCCUCUCAAAACACACCUUAAAAAUGUCUGUUGUGGCACAAAUUUAUAUAAUUCACGCCUACAACAAUAACAUUGACAUCCACACUACUACUUCAGCACUACUGCUUUCUGAAGUAGAGAAGCUGUUUAAAUAUGAAUAUUAGAUACUGAUGGAGAAACGGAUUUAGGAGUUAAUUGUGGUGUUUCAAUCCCGUGAACCUUAAAUUCUAAUUCCGCUAGUACUCCCACGACGUAAUUUCUAAAUAAGUUUCCAAAUUAUUAUGAAAAUAACUCUAAAACUAUGCGGCCAAUUUAGAAAUGAAGUAAUCCAAUCACCAAAUAAAUGUUUUAUGCCAUAGUAAUCGGGAAAAGGAAAUUUGCAAAAUAUUAGUCCCGUCGAAAACUACGAACAGACAAGCCCCCAAAAAAAGAACCUUUCUUUUUUACAGUAGUGAAAAAGAACUUCACAUAAAUAAAGCUCUUCAAAAACUGGAAAAUAAUUUCCAAAAAACUACUGUAUCAAAAAACCAAAAAAACAUUUUUAUAAGUAAAAUAAAAUGAAAACCUCAUCAGAAAUCCUUCUUCUUCAUCAUCAUCAUCAUCAUCAUCAACAUCGCCAGCCAUGUAAAUUCAUCUUAAAGAAAACCAAUCAAGCACAUCCCACACUACGCGCCUUCGCGUGAUGUCCACGCGCUCGUCGGAAACUAAAGGCGAUCGACAGAUUGGACAAAUAAAAUUGAAAGUAUCCAACCAUCCAUCAAAACAUUCUUUAUGAAAAAUAUGUUUACAACUCAAUUUCCUUACAUGUUCACCAUCACCAAACCUACUCAAGCAAACAACACAGCUCGAACCGGAUGCUUCAUCAUCACCUUGAUCAUCGAAAGCAUAUGAAAACAUCCGGUUCAAAUUGAGCUGCUCGGCUAGCAUAACCAUCCCGGCUAGACCGGAACCCACUGUUUCAUAUAGAACGUCUUCUCGAUGAACUGGAGGAUGAUGAUUCAUUUGAGAAGUCGACAUGACGAAGAAUUGACUGAAAGAGAAAAUGAAGGAACGGAGAUUGCCUAAGCAAUUAAUAAGAAGGGUAACUAGUAAGAUUGGGAUUGAUUCAGUAGAAACAUCAGUUAAUUGAUUUUGUAAUCCCAUUUUUUGGGGGGAUUAUUAGAGUUUGGUAGAUUUCAAUCACUUUGGUUAUGGUUUUUUUAAAGCUUAGCGGUUAUAUAUAUAAAGUUGGUGUGUGAAAUGAGUGUACAUAGAGUGCUUUUUCGUGGGGGUCGGUGGAGGGUGCGCGUGGGGGUGGGUGUAAUUUGGAGGGACGGGGUUACGUGGGAAGGGAUAGAGAGGGACAGACAAUUAGGUGUGUUCAAGUGUCAUCCGCUUCAUCGCAGCAAUUUCUACUUUACGUUACUUGAUUUAUUUAUUUUUUUUCUGAAAAAUAUUGUGAUUUAUAAUCUUUCCUUCAAAUUUGAUCUACUUUAUUUUUAGAAUUUAUUUGAUGAUACGAAAUUAUAUCAGAUGGAACUGAAAUUUAUAUGAACAUACAAUUUAAAUUUUUUAAGUUGUAUAUUUUUUUUAAAAUUAAUAUUUUAAAUAAUUAUUCAAUUUAUAAUUUUUAUCCCAAAAAGUUAUAUUAUUAUAAUUUUUAAUCUAAAAUUACUCAACUAAUUAUUCUUUUCUCAAAAAAUUACUGAAUUAUAAAUAUAUUAUUUAUAAGUCACUCGAUUUAUUUAAUUACUUUUUUUCCUUAAAUUUUACUCACAUUAAAUUUUAAUUUAAAUCCAAAAUUAAAAAAAAAAAGGAAGAUAAACCCAAACUCAAAUUUAUAAUGUGGCUUUGUCCACCUAUUCAACAUUACAUACUAAUUCAUAAUAAGCCGAAUUAGUCUUUAAUCUACAAGUUAAAAUAUAUCUCUCUCUCAAAUAUUAAUUUUUAUUAUAUAUUAAUAGUCUAAAACAUUUUAAUCUAUUACUAUAGUUGCGCUUAAUUUGAAUGAUUCAAAGCCACCUACUUAACAUUACAUAGUAAUUCAUAAUAAAUCGAAUUAGUCUCUAAUCGACAAGUUAAAAUAUAUAUCUCUCCCCAAUAUUUAAUUUUUAUAUAUUAAUAGUCUAAAACAUUUUAAUCUAUUACUAUAAUUGCGUUUAUUCUGAACGAUUUAAAGCCACCUACUCAACAUUACAUACUAAUUCAUAAUAAAUCGAAUUAGUCUCUAAUCGAUAAGUUAAAAUAUAUAUAUAUCCCUAAUAUUUAAUUUUUAUAUAUUAAUAGUCUAAAAUAUUUUAAUUUAUUACUAUAAUUGCGCUCUGAACAAUUUUAAAAAGUUCAUAAAAUUCCCUAAUUCUUAUUUAUGUCAUCAUCAAUUUAAUUUGUUGCUCAACUUUUUAAAUGUCAGGCCAAAUACUACGCGGAAAACCAAAUACUACGCUGAAAACUAGUUCAUAAAAUAAGAAUUAUUCAAGAUUAUAUAAGAAUAUCAGUAACCCACAUCUACAUCUUUUGUACUCUAUAUCAACUCAUUCUGGGUAAUUAAGUCAGUAAAACUAGAAUUGAUUAAUUCAUGCAAGUAUGGGAAGAAUGGGUAAAGUGUGUUUAGGUGGCAUUCCUUUCAAAGCUGUUGUAAAAUCAUUUAAAUGUUUUAAAAGGGGUCAAUGUUAUAUUUUUAGCGACUUGGGUCAUUAACAGCCUGUUUGGAUGGUGAUUUCCUAUAGUAUGGUUAUCAUGGGAACUAUGUUUGUUUACAUGGUUUUCUAAAAAUGGUGGUAUGGUAUGUUACUAUUUCAUGGUUUGAUAACCAUGAAAUGAAGCAAUUUAUUGAACCACUAAAUUGGUGGUGUGCUAUGGUUUUCAUUUUUCUUUUCCAACUAUACCCUUAUAUAAUUUUCUUUAAUCCUAUUUUAUCCUUAUCAACAAAAUACAUGCUAAGACUACGCAUUUGUUAACAAGAUCGAAGAUUGCAAGACUUCCUGUGAGCAAUAUAAAAAUUCAAAGAGUGAGAAAAAUGUUCACAGUUAUUUAGUAGUAGUAGUUUUUAAUGCCAAUAAAAACUCAAUUCGAUUAAAAAAAAUUGAAAAUUGAAAAUUGAAAUGGAGGAAAAUAGGGUGAAUGCACAAAAAGCAUAUAUAUGGGAAGUGAUUUUUGAACUCUAAGAUAUAUACAUGUAUACCAAUUGGUUUAUUGAUUGGGAAGUACUUCCCGAUUGCAUUAGUUUGCGUUCGUCAAACCUUUGUUUAGCAAAUACCUUUGUGAAUUUGACUUCUUAAAAGGAUUAUCGGGUAGCUACGAGAAGCAUCAAGAAAGAAAGGACAACUGGUUACGCUAGCACUGAUAUGGAUAAAAGAGUUGAUAUCUCAAAUGUAUUACAACUAGGGGCAUUUUAUUAAAUUUACCUGUUACCAUACCUUACCAUACCAUCAAACCAAACAAAAAAUCUAUUAUUAAACCGCAGUGAACGAUAUAGUUCAUCCAAACAUGGUACUGUACCAUACCAUACUAUACCAUAUCAUUCUACACCAUACCAUACAUUAUGAAAUCAUGGCAAACCAUCAUCCAAACAGGCUGUAAAUAGUCUAAACGAUAAUUUUUUUUGUUUCUUAGAAUGUUGAUUUAAUUAAAAUUCUAUGUUGAUAAAUUUUAAUUACAAAAAUGAUUUAAUAGGUCGAAUGAUUUUGUAAGUAAAAAUUUAUAAUUGAAUGACUUUUGAAAUAAAAAUUAAAGUUCAGUGACUUUUUAAAAAAAGAGCCGUAAAUUGAUUACCUUUUGAAGUAAAACCAAAACUUGAAUGACUUUUUCUCAUAGACAUGAAAAUCUCACAAGUUAUGAAAAACUAUUAAAUUUCUCCAAUUCUUAUCUAAUGUUAUAAAAGGAUAAGAAAAUAGUUCACAAAUAGGAUAUCAUAACAUAGUAAGGUACUGCAUUGGUAAAUUGUAUAUCUUCAUAAGCUCGUUAUAAAAAAAAUCAAAUACGAUUUAAUGAUAAUUGUUAAAAAAUAAUAAUUAAAAAUAUCAAUCAUUAUUCAUCUCAAUUUAAGUUUAUCUUUUCUCUAUCUUCAACUAACAUUAUAUGUUGUUCUAAUUAUAUUUUUAGUGUUGAUAUCAAAUGAAAAAAAAAAAAACUCAAUUCAACAAAUUCAAUAACAGCAAAUGCCCUUCCUUAAUUUUGAUUAUCUCAUCUCAUAUGUCGCAAGAAUUUUAUGUUAUUGAUUUGGCAAAGACACCUUAGUCCUCGGUAUAAAUAACAUAAAUAUCAAUCUUUUAAAAGUAAUUAUACUCUUUCUCACUUUUUCAAUUAUUUUACUCUCUCUUCCUAUUACUAUACAUUACAUAGUUGACAUAUACAUAACAUUCUGUGUAUAUGUGAGAUUUUUGUAAUAUGUUUAGGAAGUUGGAAUUUUUUAUAAUAUUGAAAACAUAAGUUGUAUAUUUGUGUAAUUUUUAGCCCUCGAUCUUAAUUAUUUUCUUAAUAUAUUUAAUAAAUAAUUUUUUAAAUUAAAUACUUUGUUUUGCAAUGUACGAAUUGAAUUUUAAGAAUCAAAGAAGAAUCAUUUUGAUCAUGCUCUCAUUACCUUACGUUUUACAAUCUCCUUUUUUUGUUAUUUUUAUUGAUUGUUACUUUUUUUUUCCUUUAUCUUUUCCUCUAUUUCUAAUUUAAUAGUUUUCGCUCAUGUAAUUCUAUCCUACUCUUGUAUUUAUUUUUAUAUUAUUUCUUGAUUUUUUUAUACAAAGAAAAUCGAGAAAUUAAUCACACCAAAUCAAUAAUUUGAGUCUUUUUUAGAUCAAUCUUGUUACAAAGAUAAAUAAUCAUCUAAAGUAGCCUAAUAAAUUUAGAGAGUUAAGAACAUUAAAAUUCUAUCAUUCUCCUUAUCCAUCCAAUAAAUACCUUUUAAAAUAUCUAUUACAGUUCAAACAUUAUGAAUUACAAUUUUAGAAUUAAUUAAUCUUUUAGUCUGAAUGUUAUAACCUCUUUCUUUUUAAAAGAUUUGCGAUCUAACCUUCAUCUAAUUGAAUUAGGUAUACAUAAUUCUUGUUUAGGAUAUAAUUCAUAUAUUUGAAUGUUAAUGAAAUAUAUCGUAAGUUAUUAAACUUUAUGCACAUUUUUUCUUAUUUCCUUUUUUUUAAUAACCAAGUCAACUGUCCUUACACUUCUAAUUUUGUGAAGAAUGUUACAAUUUUAUAAGAAAAUUAAUUUUUUGCUAAUCAGAUAAAUAAUUAAAAAAUAUAUUUGAAAAAGUUAUGGUCUUAAGAUUGUCCAUUCAACAAAAAUUUUCAUCCUUGAAACUAGUCUGCAUAAAUUAUUAUUGUAAAUACUCUAAUAUUUGAUUUACAAUAAGCUAUAAAGUUAUUUAAAUACAAAUAAUGACCUGUGGAAAUAAAUCAAUGUCACAUAUAGAUUCAAAUCAAAUUAUAUGAUGCUGUAGAAACAUUAUAAAAUCUUGAUUGUUAUGUGACUACCUAUGCUAUCAUUAAACUUUCAGAAAAUUAGAAUAGGGAGAUGAACUAAAGAGUAAAGGCCCCCCCAAAAAAAUAAAAAAAAUUCAAAUCAUAACAUGGUUAAAACCAUACUUGAUUUCAAAAUGGUACGGACACGAGGAGGCUAUGAUGAUUUUGGAUUGAGUGGUUUGUUUCACUCAUAUGAAAGAAAAAAUUCGUUUGACCACAAUGAUAUUUGAAUGUCUAUUCACACUACAAACUAUUCUUUUUUUUUUAUAUAUUUUAUCCUUUUUUAAUUUAAAUUUUUCUCAAUACUUUAUUAACUAUUUUCAAUACAUGGGGUCUUUUCUAUAUAUGGAGAUUGAAUAUUUUUCUUGCUCCCUUUACUUGGACGAAUUUUGUAAAAAAAUAAUUUGAUAAAUAACUUUUUUUUUCCUUUUAAUGCUAAGUGAAGAAAUUUAAAAAUAUGAAAUAACUUACGACAAUUUUUAAGAUCGGAUAACUUUGGUUAAUAUUAGUUAGACUCUCUAUUUUUUUUUAAAAUUUUAUUUAAAUAUGUAGUAUAAAUUUACACAUAUAUUUUUGUUAAGGUGAUCUCUAAUCAAGUAACUUAUUAAUUAUUAUUUCUAACUAAAUUUAAAUUCUGUAUUUAAAUAUUUUCAAAUAAAAUUAAAAAAUAUUUUAAUAAUGACAAUCAAAAUUCAGAACACUUUAAACAUGAUAGAUAUUGACAUAUUAUAAAAAUUAUAUAGUUCAUAUGUGUCAACUAUCACUAACAACAAUCUAAGAGAGUCGCACGUUAAUGUUGUAGUCUUGCUCCUUUAUGUUAUGUUGAUUUUUGAUAAUUUUCUAAUAAUAACUUAUAUUUGUUAUUAAUAUAUGAUCUCUAAUAAAGUAAUUUUAUUAAUUAUUAUGAUUAAAUAAAUUAAAACUACAAAUUUAUAUAAUUUUCUGAUAUAAUUUAAAGUAUUUCAAUAACACUAGUCACAACUCAAAAUACUUGUAAAGUCUCGGGUUUUUGGUCCUUGAAAAUUUUCUGAGUUCAGAGCUUUCUGUCCGACAACGACUCAACUCAUGAGAUGUAAUGUGUCUUUACAGGUCAUAAGACCCAGUCGUAAUGAGCCCAGAAGGAUUUUUCUAAGUCACUGCCUCAAUAACGAUUAGACUUAAUAAGUCGUAUAGACUCCUAACGAGUCGUAAGGAGGGUAUUUCGUAAGUUGUCCAGUGUAGUGCCUCUAUGAAAAUUGUUGAGACUGUGACUUGACCCUACGAGUCGUAGUGUCUCAUUACGAGAUGUAGGGUGCCAAUUUUAGGGUUUAUAGUGAAGAUCCCAAGGGGGUUCUGGUUUUGCGAUGACUGGAUGGUCCGAGUCAUAAGGUCACUCGUAGCGACUAGGCAGUGGUUUUCAACCUUUAUACAAAGGGUAUUUUGGAUAUUUUUCUCUUGACCUAAACAUAUCCCAUGACCUAUAAAACCUAUUGAGGCUUUGUUUUCAUUCAUAACUCAUCAAAAGAAACACUCUUCUCUCUUAAAUACUCUCUCAAGCAACAAUACUUAGGAUUUUCAAGAAGUGGGUCAACUAGAGCUUUCAAAGACAUAUUCUCUCCACAAUCUUCGGUAUUUUAGGCAUGUUACUCUUUUCUCAUUGUUAAUUUGUUAAAGGCAUGUGUUUUAAAGUAUUUUCACGAGAUGUUUGUGACGGUUUUGAAACAAAGGUUGGGGAUUUUGAAUGCUUAUUAUUGAACAAUGUUUUCCCAUGUUUUACAUAUGAUUAUUCAUGCUUUAAUUAUUAUUUUGAACUUGUGGGUUCAUGGGUAUGACGAAUGAACUAGAAAAUUGUGAAUUUCCCAUACUUGUGACUUUUAAAGUAGUUAUGGCCCCAACCCCAUAAUGUGAAAUUGGUUUUCAACUAUGAAAAAUGUGAGAAUUUUUAAAAUUAAACUAGUCUUGAACUAUUGCAUGAUAUAAAGAGGUAUUUGAAAUGCAAUGAAUUAAUUUAAUGAACAAAGGGAGUCGGUGUUCCCCCACCUUGUAUUAACGAACAAAAGGAGUUGUUUUUCCCAAGUUAAUGAAAAUUAUUUUGGCAUGUUGUUAUUACCUUGCAAGUGUAGUUGGUAUGGCGAUACCAACAAUAUAUGCCUUAUUGUGGAAUAUGGUUCACUGAAUGGGGAUGUGUCAUACUUGUUUUAAUUGGGCUUUAAUAAGAGUUGUAUAGAUGAGUCGUGAAAGUAGAGGUCCGAGAGACCGAUAUUGAAAACCACAUUUGUCGAUGCGGGGGUCAAAGUGACCAGGGAGGUUCGAGACCCUUCAUUAUUAUUUUAUGAUUAGGGAGGUUUGAGUCCCCCGUAAAUAAUUACAUGAUCGGGUGCUUAAAUCACCUUAGUAUAUGUUGGGAGAUUCGAGUCCUCCAUGUUCAGAUAGAUAAGAUUAUUCUCCAGUUCAUGUGGGGCCCGAACAGGGAGUGAGAGUUGGGACCCAUAUAGCCCGUGGGUACUACUAAAUAAUGGUUGAGCUACACAAUCCAGACUAAAGUCUUAAAGUGCACGUUAAGCCUUGUUCCCUAUCGCAGCAUGUGAUAUAUAUAUAUAUGCAUCUGAUUAUAUGCAUUGGAUUUUGAAUGAGUUUGAAACUGUUGAUCAUGGCAUUAUGUUAUCCUUAUUCCUGAGUUACAUGUUAGCACUCACACCGCACCGUUUUUGGAUGCAGUAUCUCCAUGUGAUACAUAAAUUGGUCAUACUUUUACAUCUCCUGCACAGUGAUUCAGAUUCAGGGUCAGUUUGUGAGUUGACACUGAAGUGGUGAGCUGCCAUACACCGGAAGUCUACAUUUUAUGUUUUAGUCUCUUAUGUCUAAGAUUGUUUAGACUUGUUUUGGCUAUAGUCGGAGACAUGUCCCAAUACUUUAUUGGUAUUCAGUUUUGAUCAUUUGCUUAGAACGCUUUGUUAGACUAUUAUAGUUAUUAGGCAAUGUCGGUUGGAUGAUUGCCUGGUCGUCAGUCGGUGGUUAUAGACUUGAAUUAAAUUUUUCUUAAUCUAUUACACGUUUUUUUUAUAUGUUCAAAAUUCAUUCGAGAUUGGGGUGUGUUGUGGUUGGUCUGGUUAAGUGCAGGGGUCCGGUCCACAUAGGACUUGAGAUACCUGUCACGGACAGGCCCUAGUUUGGUUCGUGACAAAAAUGGUAUCAGAGCCUAGGUUUGGUGUCAUUGUGCGUCCAACAAAGUCGUGUCAAGUAGAGUCUCUAUUAUGGGUGUGUAGCGUGCCACACUUAUAAGGGAGAGACUAUAAGCCAUUUAGGAAUAUUUUCCUAUCUUGCGAUCUAUUCUUCGGUCUUUAGAGUCUAAGGUCAUGAAAUAUCCUCUAAUUGUCAAAUGUUCGCUUUUCAAAUCAUGCCUCCUAGAAAAUCUGAUGCUCAUGGAAACUCUUUUGUCUCAUCUAAGGACAAUGUCACACCUCUUUUUUGCUCGAGGAGUCGAAGAAUUUUUCCAAUUAAAGUGAGGGUUUUGAAUAGGGAUUAUUUUUAUCAUUUUCAGAGUCGCUACUUGGAAUUGAGUUAUGGUGUUCUAAGCCACCUUAUUGAAUCUCUAAUCAAAAGAAAAUGACUCUAUAUUGGUCUGUAAAAAUAGAAGACCGGGUAAGAAAUUUUGUUGACCGAGGGGAAGGUAUGAGGCACCCUCAAGUCCCGUGAUUCUAAAAAUCAUUUUAUGGACUUAUACUUAGAUUUAACUAUUUUGGAUAAAUUAUGUUUGCAGGCCUUAAUUCGCUCAUUUUUUAAUAUCUAGUAUCUGUUUAUACCUUUUAGAUUGGGCUAAUAGAAGUUAAUUUUACGACGAUCUUUACCGAGGUGCAAUGUCACAUCCUCGAAUUAUUUUUAAAUAUCUCACAAAUAUGUGUACGUUGCAUUCUUAAUUGAAAAAGAUAUAUUAAAUGUGCCUAAAACUUAUUUAGUGUUAAAAGGCAUUCAUUCAUCUCUUAUAAACUCAAGACAAUAUUUCUUAUCUAUUUUCACUCAUUUUUUUAAUCUUCUCCAAAUUUUCCUAACAUUUUUUUUUUCUCUCUGUCUUCGUUUUUAUCUGUAUUCGUUCUCUUUUAUUUUCCUUCCUUUGAGAAAAUUGACAUUCAAACAUCAUCUGCAAGACACAUAUUUAUUAUAAAGAGAAAUCAUCAUACUUGACAUCUGUUUCUUGAAUUUUGAACCUAAGUUCACUGUUUUAUCAUGCUAAUAAUAUUAAUUCUUAGCCAAAAGAUCUACUAAUUUUGUCUUAAAUGAUCAUUAUAACAUCUGAGGAAAACUAUAGUUAUGACUAGCAGAAAAUGAGCUCAUCUUCACAAUCAUUUUUUUUAUCUAAAAAAACGCUCAAAUUAAACUGUGUUUAACAAUAGUUUAUCUUAUAACAAAGAUACCCAUUAAUAGUAAUUAUUAACACUUAGUUUAUAAAGAAUGCCUAAUUUCUACUUGGAAAAAAUAAAUAAUGCCAACUAUAUUUUCUUAAACAAGGUCUAUAUGACGUUAGUCUUUAAUUAUCAUUAACAAUAUAACUAAUCAAUUUUGAAACUCAUGUAAUACCUAACCGAUGAAUAUUGAAUUUCUUUAACUUGAAUAAGUUACCAAAUUGAAAAUUUAAAUUAACCAAAAUAUAGUCCAAAGGAAAACAUGCACAUGUUUAGUUUAAUCCAGAUAUCAUAUCAACGACACAAUAUAAAAUAGAAUCAUAAGCUAAUAACAAACAACAAAAGGAGAAAUUUUACAUACUAAACAAUGUAUGGAAUCAUAAAAAUAAUUUCAUAAUUUGAUUCAUAACGAAACUUACAAAAUUAAUAAUACAAAUAUUGAAUAAGAACCCGUGACAAAUUAAACCGACUGUAAAAGCAAGAACGCUAUCACCGAAAACUCAAACGGAAACCUCGAACUCUACUCGUCACUUCCUUUCUGUCCUUUUCUAAGGGUUUUCUUCUUUUGUUUCUAAGUUUUCUCUUAAUUUUGUUGUCACUUCUCUUCCUCUUUUCCUCCUUCUUCUUACUUUUUCUGUUUUAUUUUGUUCCUUUUCUUUCUUAUUUUUUGUCCUUGCUUCUCUUAUUUUUUCUUUUAAGUUUUUUGGUUUGUGUAUCCAUCCGUCUGUGCCUCCUUCUCUUGGGUGGUGAUUAUGUUAUGUAUAUAUAGUGUGCAUGUGUAGUGGGAACAUGAGGUGCAGGAUGGAAUUAUGGGGAGUUUGAGAAAAAUAUGGGAAAUGCGGAGAGAUUGGGGUAGUUUUCUUUAGGAUAUAUUUUUUUAAUUUAAUAUAUAUAUCUUUAAAAUAUAUGAUUAAUAAAUAAAUAAAUAAUAAUAAAAUUAAAAUAAAUAAAUAAAUUAAAUAUUAACUAAUCAAUUUUUAUACUAGGGGAGAAUCAAAAUUACGUGUCUAUUUUGCCUCUCUUUGUUUGAAUACACGAAGUAUUUUCAUACAAAGAAGUAGACAACGAAACAAGUUUUGACCAUCUGAUUAUUUGAAAGGGUAGAAGAAAGAAAAAAAGAUAUGUGAUUGAGUCCUGAUUUUGGACCACCUACAAAUCCUGGGUUAUAAGGGAAUCAGGGCACAUGUAGUUCGGAGAGGUGAAAUUGUAAUACCCUGAAGUUUCCUAACUAAUUUCGUCCUAAGAAUGUCAAGUAUUAGCUUCUAAAUUGAAUGAUGUUUAUUCAAUGGAGAAUUUUCAAGAUUUUCACUUUUAGUUAUGUGGGAAAUUCAAUAAGUUUUUAUCGAUAUAAGAUUCGCCCAAAUUCGAUAACCGGGUAAGAAGUUAUGACUAUUUCAAGUCCCCGUCGUAAAAUAGCGCAAUGUUAGUUAGUGGCGCUCCGCGCCACAAGAGAAAAUGACAUUUGUCAACUUCCAAUGAGCCUCCGCAAUUUCACCGCAUCGUGGAAAACUUCCAAGUCCCAGUUGUCCAAUUCAAGUAGGGGUCCGCGAUUUGUUCCACGUCACGCCAUGGAUAGAUUUCAGAAUUUGUAUGGCACCGGAUAUCUCCGCAUCGCACCAUCAGCCCAGUUCCCAAUUGUCACUUUCCAGUGACAUGGCGCAAUAGCACCGCAUCGCACCGAGUGCCAAAAUUAGGAUUUUAAUCAGUUUCGAGUUUUUAAUAUCAAGGGCCUUUAAGUCUUUUUUUAAUGGCCCUAAUCAGCUUAAGCACGUACUUAGCCCUAAAAUUACAUGGUCAUAUCAUUACUCAUCUAAUUUUUCCCCAAAUUGAGUUACUCUCUCUCAAGCCAAGAAACCCUAGCUCUCAAGAAUCAAGGUCAAUCUCAAGAAAUCCAUCCAACAACUUCAAGAACCUUUAAGAUUUCCUUUCUAAGGUAUGGAUAGUGUUCAUUCAUGGACUCGUUUCAUCCAUGAAGCCCAAGAAUCUCUUUUUAAAGUUCAAGUAUAUGGAUUUUUAUGAAUUUCAUGUUGGGUUUGCUUUUGUUCAUGUUGAUAAUGACCAAUUGAAUUCUAAUCCAUGUUUGGUGAUAAAUUUUUAAGUGGAACUAAUUAUUAUAGGUGUAGAUUCAUGUAAACCCAUGAUUAAACCCUUGAAUGGUGAAAUUAGAACUGAAUCAUGAUGUUUACUUGUUGCGUAAUGUUGUCUACAUAUACUAUGCUCACUAUGUGUUUGAUUAAAUGCCUAUGUGAAGGAAAAGUGUUGUACUAGUAUGAUAAUAUGAAAUCCUCAUUCAUAUACAAGUUCAUGCAUGUCAAGUGUUUGAUGAAAUAUCUCAGUCAAUGAAUUAUGAAUAUAUGUGUAGCCAUUGUUAUGCUUUACAAUUUAUGCCACGAAUUACUUUUAUGAUAUCGAGUCCUGGAGGUAUUUAAUACCCAAUAAUUUAGCUGUGUUCCUAGAGCCCAUGUCAUGUUUCCACGAUACUCUCAGUCAAGCCAUGAUCCAUAGGACUCAGUCAGUCAUGUGACUCAGAAAAGCUCAGUAACUCAGUAAUAUCAGUAGUAUUCCGUCAGUCAACGGAGCUCAGUUAAAUCAGUCCAGUUCAGUUCAGUUAAUCAUGUUCAGUGUAUAUAUUCAAAUAGGAGUAGGAUUUAGCACCGAGUGAACUCAAGGAUGGGAAGUCACCUGCUAGUAGAGGGUGUGAUUCUUAGAAGUAAUCCUUGCGUUCCAGAACUACGUAACCAGCAUAAGUUGAUACAUCAACCUGUCAGUUGAGGGUUGAUGAGGUGGCUUAACUUGCCAGUCGAGGGUCCCACCAUUCUCAUUAGAGUACCUGGCAGUUGAGGGUAACUCACAGCUUGUCCUUACCAAUGGCGCGGUAUUUGCACCCUUCCAGUUGGGGUUACAGAUUGGACCCCAACUCAGCUACAUUGCUUUAUUUAAGGCAUGUCAGUUAGAUGACUACAUCCCACAGUUUUAGUAUCAUUUUCAGUAAUAGAACUCAGAUAGUUCUAUAGAAUUCAGAACUGUCAGAUACAGUCAACUCAGAACAGUACGAAACUCAGCUAGUUCUAUCAGAUCCUAGACUAUCAGAUAUAGUCGCUCAAUAUCAGUUAUAUCAGUUAUCAGAAAUUCUUAUUAUCAUCAUUCAGAUUCAGUAAUCAUGUUAUCACGAUCUCAGUUACAUUCACUAUAUGUUCAUGCAUGCAUUCUCACGUUUAUAUUAUCUAGUUAGUUAGUAUUGUUCAUGCAUAUAAACCCCAUGCAUUCAGCCUACCUCACAUGCAUACCAGUACAUUCAAUCGUACUAACGUAUUUGUGCUAUUGUGUUUUAUUCUAUACCAUAGGUUCAGAAGCAUGCGCUCCAGAGCAUCAGUAACAUUCCAGUUUUAGCUGUCAAAGUUAGAAGUGAGUUCUCAUCUUCGGAGGACAUGAUCAUUAUAUUAUAUCUUCAUUACUUAGUUUGUUUCAGUAGUUGGAGUUAGUUGGGGAUAUGUCCUAUCAACUUUUUAUUCAGAUAGUUUAGUUUUAGAGGCUUUUCAGAUUAUAAUAUUGUUCAGACAGAUUAUUUCAGUAUUAGGUAUUUUAUACCUCGUCCUGACAUUAUUUUGUUAGUUAUGUUUUUAUCAAUUUUGAACCUUAUGGCCCUUUUGCCUUUAUUUCUGCAUUUAUAUAAGAUAUUAUGUAGUGUUCAGGUACAAAUAUCAAUCAUGGGUUAACUUAUGGUCCUUCGGGAUCAUGAGCACCAUGUAGCAUUUCGGGUAUCAGAUUUGGGCUGUUACAAACUUGGUAUCAGAGUCUAAGGUUCAACAGUGUCCUAGGAAGUCUAAAAGCCGCAUCUAGUAGAGUCUUGUACAUGGGUGUGUUGCGCGCCACAUUUAUGUGCAGGAGGCUAUAAGAUGUUUUAGGAACAGUUUUCCUUCUUUCAGUAUUUAUGUCAUGCCAGUGAGCAUGAGCUCAAGUUUUACUCUUAGUCUGAUCUAUUUCUCCCUUUCUUCUACAAAAUAUGCCUCCUAAGAGGAGAAACGAAAAUUAGUCAGCCCCUUAUUCCAUCCAAGCAGAUCCCUUGGAUGAACAUGUUUCUCAUGCAGAGUUCAGAGCUGCAUUCACCACUCUUGCUCAGUUAGUUGCUACUUAGAAUGAACGACCAGCUGUUGUUUCGACCAACCUAGUGGUCAAUUCAGCUGCAGCUAGGAUUUGGGACUUCACCCGAAUGAAUCCUCUAUUUUUUUUGGGUCUAAGUCAGAUAAGGACACUCAGAAAUUCAUCGAUCAGGUUCAGAAGGUUACAGAAAUCAUGGGGGUGUCGGCUGUUGAGAAUGCUGAGCUAGCUGCAUAUCAGUUGCAAGAUAUUGCUCAUAUUUGGUUCAAACAGUGGAAGUCAGAGAGGCUAGAUGAUGCGGGGCUUAUUGAGUGGGAGAAGUUUGUCAUCGCAUUCUUAGAUAGAUUCUUUACCCUAGAGCUGAGAGAAGCUAAGGUUUUAGAAUUUAUCAACUUCAGGUAGGGCAACAUGACAGUGAAAGAGUAUUCUCUUAAGUUUACUCAACUAGCCAGAUAUGCUCCUCAUGUGGUUACAAACAGCAGGGCCAAGAUGAGUAAGUUUGUUUCUGGGGUGAGUGAUAGCGUGGUCUAUGAGUGCAGAUCUGUGUUGUUGAAUAGUAACAUGAACAUAGCUAGGCUUAUGACCCAUGCUCAAUAGAUAGAGGAGCAAAAUAUUAAGAUGAGGGAGAAGCAGAAUAAGAGAGCAAGGACCGGUAGUUUCAACUUUGCUCAACCUAAAUCAGAAGGAGGGAAUCGUUCUCAAUUCUGUCCUAAGUCAUCUUUUCCAGCUCCUUUUUCGGCCAGUGCUCCAGCUCCUAAGUUCAGGGAUGGUAAUAGAGAUAUGGCGCCAGGCUCUAAGUCUCAGGGCAGUGUUAGCAAUACUCGAACUAAUCCUCUUUGUCAGAAUUAUGGUAAACAACAUUAGGGUAUUUGCAGAGCUGGCAGUGAUAUUUAUUUUGGAUGUGGCAAGCAAGGCCACAGAGUCAGGGAUUGUCCUUAGAUAGGUUCCCAGCGUCAGCAGAACCAUUCUGUAGCUCAGUCUCGUCGCCCAAACUAGCAGGGUGCCACUUCCAGUGCUACUAGUGGGCGACGCCUUAACCGACUUUAUUUUCUCCAGUCCUGGCAAGAUCAGGAAAAUUCCCCUGAUAUAGUUACUGGUAUGUUACAGAUCUUUUAUGUGCAUAUUUAUGCUUUGCUAGAUCCAUGAGCUUUCUUGUCUUUUGUUACCCCUUACAUAACAGUUGAUUUUGGAGUCAGUCUCGAAAUUCUAGUAGAGUCUUUUUCAAUAUCUACCACAUGGGUAAAACUAUUAUAGCCCAGCGGGUAUAAAGGAACUGCCCAAUUAUGAUAUCUCAGAAAGUCACUUCAAUAGACUUAGUCAAAUUAGAGAUGACUAAUUUUGAUAUCAUUCUCGGCAUAGAUUGACUUUAUUCCUGCUAUGCCACAGUCGACUACAGAAAUAGAAUAGUCCAGUUUUAGUUUUCAAAUGAACCUAUCUUAAAAUGGAGGGUAGUACUUCAGUAUUCAGAGGUCAGUUUAUUUUCUACCUUCGGGCACGAAAAAUGAUAUCUAAGGGCUGUGUCUAUCAUCUCGUUUAUGUUAAGGACUCUAGUUCUGAAACUAUCAGUCUUGAAUCAUUCCCAGUAGUGAAUGAAUAUUCAGAUGUCUUUCCCAAAGAUCUUCCAGGAAUUUCUCCUGAAAGGGAAAUAGACUUCGGCAUUGAUCUUCUUCUAGAUACUCAGCCUAUGUCUAUUCCGCCAUACAGAAUGGCAGCAGCAGAACUCAGAGAAUUAAAAGAGCUGUUGAAGGAUAUCUUAGAUAAGGGAUUCAUCAGACACAACAUAUCCUUGUGGGGUGAACUAGUCUUAUUCAUGCACAAGAAAGAUGGUUCUCUCAGAAUGUGUAUUGAUUAUCGUCACCCUAAUAAAGUCACAGUCAAGAACAAAUAUCCUCUUCCCCGAAUCAAUGACUUGUUUGACCAACUUUGGGGUGCCAGUUAUUUGUCAAAAAUAUACCUCAUAUUAGGCUAUCAUCAUCUUAGAGUCAGAGAAUAUGACAUCCCUAAAAUAGCCUUCCGUACUCGAUAUGGUCUUCAAAUUCUUAGUCAUGUCCUUUGGUCUUACCAAUGCCCCAACAGCUUUCAUGGACUUAAUGAACCAUGUGUUUAAGCAGUACUUGAACAUGUUCACAUAGUUUUCAUAGAUGAUAUUCUGGUCUAUUCCUGCAGUGAGUGUGAUCAUACAUACCAUCUUAAAAUCAUACUUCAGACUCUUAGAGAUCAUUAAAUAUUUUCCAAAUUCAGUAAGUGCGAGUUUUGGAUAAGGUCAGUAGCAUUCCUUGGUCAUAUCAUAUCUGGUGAUGGCAUUAGGGUUAAUCCUCAAAAGACCAAAGCAGUAAAAAACUGGCCUCGCCCUGUCUCUCCAUCAGAUAUCAGGAGUUUCUUAGGUUUGGCUGGCUGUUACAGAUAGUUUGUUGAGGGAGUUUCCUUUAUUUCAUUCCCUACAUCCAGAUUGACUUAAAAGAAAGUCAAGUUUCAGUGUUCAGAUCUUUGUGAGAAGAAUUUUCAGGAUUUGAAGACUCGACUCACCUCGGCUUCAGUCUUAGCUCUUCUAGAUGGUCCAGAUGGGUUCGUAGUGUAUUAUGAUGUAUUCAGAGUAGGUUUGGGUUGUGCCCUCAUGCAGCAUGGUAAGAUCAUAGCCUACGCCUCCAGACAGCUUAAACCCCAUGAGAAGAAUUAUCUGACUCAUGAUAUUGAGUUAGCAACCGUGGUAUUUGCCUUAUAGAUUUAGAGGCAUUAUCUGUACAGAGUUCAUGUAGAUGUGUUCACUGAUCAUAAGAGCCUUUAGUAUGUAUUUUCUCAGAAAGAUCUCAAUCUUCGUCAGAGAAGGUGGUUAGAGCUCUUGAAAAAUUAUGACAUGAGUGUCCUUUAUCAUCUGGGCAAGGCCAACAUAGUGGCCAACGCUCUUAGUAGACUGUCUAUGGGUAGUUUUGCUCAUGUUAAGGACAGUAAGAAGAAGUUAGCUCAGGAAGUCUAUCAACUUACUAGACUAGGUAUUAGCUUAGUCAAUACAGAAGAGGGUGAUAUAUGGGUUCAGAGUAGUUUAGAAUCAUCUCUAGUUUCUGAGGUGAAUGAAAAGCAAGAUAGAGAUCCCAACCUUGUCAAGUUAAAAGAGUCAGUCAAUUAUCAGAAAGUAGAGGUUUUCUCCCAAGGGAGAGAUGGUGUUUUAUGUUGUCAGGGUCGCAUGUGUGUUCCAGGUGUAGAUGACUUGAGGCAGUGAAUUCUUACAGAAGCACAUGGUGCGCGUUACUCUAUUCAUCCAAGGUCCACUAAGAUGUAUCGCGACUUGUGGGAGAUCUAUUGGUGGGGUGGAAUAAAGAGAGAUAUUACAAAAUUUGUGGCUAAGUUCUCUAUAUGUCAGCAAGUUAAGAUAGAGCAUCAGAAGCCUAGUGGGUCUAUGCAGGAGUUUAAUAUUCCCACUUGCAAGUAGGAAGAAAUGAACAUGGACUUUGUGAUGGGUUUGCCUCAAACUCGUCAUCAGCAUGAUUCAGUUUGGGUUAUUGUAGACAGGAUGACCAAAUCAACUCAUUUUCUUCCAGUCCAUACCUCCUAUUUAACCGAGGAUUAUGCUAAACUCUACAUCAGAGAGUUGGUCAGAUUACACGAUGUUCCAUUAUCCAUUAUCUCAGAUAGAGGUACCUAGUUUACCUCUCAUUUCUGGAAAGCAUUCCAUAAGGGUCUUGGUACCGAAGUUCAUAUCUAUACAACCUUCCAUCCUCAGCCAGAUGGUCAAGUAGAAAAGACCAUUCAGACUCUAGAAAAUAUGCUGCGAGUGUGUGCAAUUGAUUUUAAGGGAAGUUGGGAUGACCACUUGCCUUUGAUUGAGUUUGCAUACAACAACAGUUAUCAUUCCAAUAUUAAGAUGGCUCCAUUCGAAGCUCUCUACGGUAUGAGAUGUUGAUCUCCGGUCGGUUGAUUUAAAGUUAGUGUGGCUUCAUUUAUAUGGCAUAACUUAGUAUUCAACGCCUUGGAUAAAGUCCAAUUGAUCAGAGAAAGACUCUGGGCUGCUCAAAGCCGACAGAAGUCUUAUGCAGAUGUGCGCAAAAAGGAUCUCGAGUUUGAGAUUGGUGAUUAUGUUUAUCUAAGGAUCUAUCCCAUGAAGAGAGUGAAGAGAUUCGAAAAAAAGGGAAAACUCAGUCCCCGAUUUGUCGGUCCCUUCAAAAUUCUCAGUCGCUUCAGUAAAGUAGCUUAUGAGUUUGAGUUGCCUUCAGAUCUAGCCUCAGUUCAUCCAGUCUUUCAUGUCUCUUUGCUUAAGAAGUGCAUAGGUGACCUAACAGUUGUAGUCCCUAUUCAGAGCAUGGGUAUUCAUACCCACACCUCUCUUUCAAAGAGCUUUCGAUCAAAAUUCUUGACUAUUAGAUCACAGAUUGAGGAACAAAGAAGUCCCUCUAGUCAAAGUUCUUUGGUAGAAUCAGUCCAUUGAGGAAGCUACUUGGAAAGAAGAAAUAGAUAUGCGAACCAAGUACCCUCACCUCUUCUCUUCAAACUCAGAUCUAGCUUAAGGUAACAGUUCUCUUUAAGCUUAUUCUAUUUAUGUUUAUAAUUCCAUUAUAAACUAGUACUAAGUACCAUUGCAUAUUCAAUCAUAUGUUCAUGUAUCAGAUCAGUCAUGUGUUCAUGCAUCAGAUAUGCAUUAAGCUAUCAGAAAUCUCAGUCAUGUAUUCAUGAGCCAGUUCAGUAAGGAAAUCAUGCAUCAGAUAUGCAUUCUUAGUAUGAAUCUCAUAAAUAUCAAUCAUGAAAUCAUGUUUCAAUUGUUCAUGUUCAGCAUGUACUUCAGUAUAUCACUUCUUCCAUCUCAGUUAGUCUCAUUCGAGGACGAAUGUUCCUAAGGGGGAGAUAUUGUAAUACCCUAAAGUUUCCUUACUAAUUUCAUCCCAAGAAUGUCAAGUAUUAGCUUCUAAAUUGAAUGAUGUUUAUUCUAUGGGGAAUUUUAAAGAUUUUUCCCUAAAUUGAGUUACUCUCUCUCAUGCCAAGAAAUCCUAACUCUCAAGAAUCAAGGUCAAUCUCAAGAAAUCCAUCCAAGAACUCCAAGAACCUUCAAGGUUUCCUUUAUAAGAUAUGCAUAGUGUUCAUUCAUGGAUUUCUUUAGUCCGUGAAGCCCAAGAAUCUCUUUUCAAAGUUCAAGUAUAUGGAUUUUUAUGAAUUCCAUAUUGGGUUUACUUUUGUUCAUGUUGAUAAUGACCAAUUGAAUUCUAAUUCAUGUUUGGUGAUAAAUUUUUAAGUGAAAUUAAUUAUUAUAGGUGUAGAUUCAUAUGAACUCAUGAUUAAACCCUUGAAUGGUGAAAUUAGAACUGAAUCAUGAUGUUUACCUGUUACGUAAUGUUGUCUACAUAUACUAUGCUCACUAUGUGUUUGAUUAAAUGCCAAUAUGAGGGAAAAGUGCCGUACUAGUAUGAUAAUAUGAAAUCCCCAUUCAUAUACAAGUUCAUGCAUGUCUAGUGUUUGAUGAAAUGUCCUAGUCAAUGGAUUAUGGAUAUAUGUGUAGCCAUUAUUGUGAUUUAGAAUUUAUGCCAUGAAUUACUUUUAUGAUAUCAAGUCCUGGGGGUAUUUAAUACCCAGCAAUUUAGUUGUGUGCCUAGAGCCCGUGUCAUGAAUUUUCUCACGUUCAUAUUAUCCAGUCAGUUAGUAUUGUUCAUGCAUAUGAACCCCAUGUAUUCAGCCUACCCCACAUGCAUACCAGUACAUUCAAUCAUACUGAUGCAUUUGUGCUAUGGUGUUUUAUUCUAUACCAUAGGUUCGGAAGCACACUCUCCAGAGCAUCAAUAGCAUUCCAGUCUCAGCAAUCAGAGUUAGCAGAGAGUCCUCAUCUUUUGAGGACAUGAUCAUUAUGUUAUAUCUUCAUUACUUAGUUUAUUUUAGUAGUUGGAGUUAGUUGGGGAUAUGUCCCAUCAACUCCUUAUUUAGACAGUUCAAUUUUAGAGGCUUUUCAGACUACAGUAUUGUUCAGACAGAUUAUUUCAGUAUUGGGUAUUUUAUACCCCAUUCAGACAUUAUUUUAUUAGUUAUGUUUUUAUCAGUUUUGAACCAUAUGGCCUUUUAGCCUUUAUUUUUGCAUUUAUACAAGAUAUUAUGCAGUGUUUAGGUACAAAUAUCAGUCAUGGGUUAACUUGUGGUCCUUUAGGGUCAUGAGCACCAUGUAGUAUUUCGGGUAUCAGAUUUGGGGCGUUACAGAAAUGGUGGGACGAUGAGUUAGAGAACGAGUGAGGUUCCUUCGAGUCUUCGAUUCCGACUUCUAUGUUUACAUCCAAAUGAAUAACAAAAAUAAAGAUACAAGUGAAAGAUCAUAUCUAUGUAUCUUUUCUGAAAUAUUGAGUUAAAUCUUCAUAACUUCUUAAGUGUUGAGAUAAUCAUUAUUUUGAGUUGAACUUGGAAAAUGAAAUAUUCUUCUGUGUUGACUUUUGGUACUGAAGAGAAACUUGACAAUUGACUUAUUCUUCAGAAUUUCUACUGGCUUGAACUUGAAAAUCUUCACUCUCUUCUUUAGGUAGGAUCCUGAACUUGUAAUUGAUAAUCUUCACUCUAUUCUCCAGGCGAGCUCCCGACUUUCUAUUUCAUUACCCGAUUCUCCUGGUGGGCUCCUGACUUGUAAUUUCUUCACUCUAUUCUCCAGGCGAGAUACUGACUUAAAAUUUCUUCACCUUAAUCUCCAGGCGGGCUCCUGAUCUUCAAAACCAAAAGUAGUUUUAAUUCUCCAAACAUGUUCCUGAACUCAAAGUAAAAACUGAACUAUAAAAGUAAAGUCCCAUUAUCUAGGAGUGUCCUGAGCCGAAAGUAAUGUCCCAUUAUCCAGGAGGGUCCUGAGCAUAAAUUAAAGUCUCAUUAUCAAUGAGGAUCCCGAGCAUAAUAAAUCUCGUUAUCCAGGAGGGUCCUGAUUCGAAAGUAAAAUCACAUUAUCCAGGAGGCUCCGAACAGAAAGUAAAAUCCAUUAUCCAGAAGGGUCCUGAGAAGAAGUAAAAUCCCAUUAUCCAGGAAGGUCCUGAGCAGAACAUAAAGUCUCAUUAUCUUGGAGGGUCUUGAGUAGAAAAUAAAGUCCCAUUAUCCAAGAGGGUCCCGAGCAGAAAAUAAAGUUCCAUUAUCUAGAAGGGUCCUGAGCAGAAAAUAAAAUCCCAUUAUUCAGGAGGGUCCUGAGAACUAAUAAAAUCCUAUUAUCCAGGAGAGUCAUGAGUAUAAAGUAAGGCCCCCAUUAUCCAUGAGGGUCCUGAGCAGAAAGUAAAAUUCUAUUAUUUAGGAGGUCCUGAGCAGAAAAUAAAAUUCUAUUAUUCAGGAGGGUCCUGAGCAGUAAGUAAAAUCUCAUUAUUUAGGAGGUUCUUGAGUAAAAAAUAAAAUCCCAUUAUUCAGGAAGGUCCUGAGCAGAAAAUAAAAUCCCAUUAUUCAGGAGGGUCCUAAGCAUAAAGUAAAUUUCCAUUAUCCAGGAGAGUCCCAAGGAAAAAAAUAAAAUCCUAUUAUCCAUGAGGGUCCUGAGAGAAAUUUAAAGUGCCAUUAUCCAGGAUGGUCUUGAGCAGAAAAGUAAAAUCACAUACAAUGCGAACAAUUUUUUUCCCAGUUUGUAGCAGAAUUUUUUUUUAAUGUCACCAGAUCAUAAUUUUUAAAAGUGCAGUAAAGGGGUGAAUCAAAGCCUUGAUAAAGAAAUGUGUCUCUUGAGAUUAAAAUUGAUGACCAAAAUUAGAAAGUGCGUCUCCUAAGAGUUAAUAUGGUGGACUCUAACUAGAAAGUGCAUAUUCUAGGAGUGAAGGUUCAAGUUAGAAAGUGCUUCAUCUAACAAAUGAAGUCUGAAAUACCCAGAAAAGGAAGUCUGUCUCCUAGGGGUAUAGGAUGAUGAGUUUUUAUCAUGAUGGUGAUUAUCAAACUUGCUUAUAAAUAUCACCUCUUGCAUUUGCAUAAGUGGGAAAUUGCAUCUUUUGAUAUUUAGGCUUUGAAGUCCUUGAUUUGAAAGUAACAUAUUUUUUUAUUUCAUUUGAAAACACAGUGGUUGGUUUAUGGCAUUUGGCUACUAAGGCGACCGCUCUUGCACUUGUCAUGCUCAGCUCCAUUUCAAAUCAUUGAUAGGUAUCGUUGACUUGUCAUACUUUUGACCCCAAAUUCUGGCUACUGAAAGUAUUUGACUCAAAUUGUAUUUCCCUAGCAUGAUGCCUCUGGGUUUAACUUAUAUGCACCUUUUAUAUUUUUAUGAGUCCAAAAACUGCCAGAUAAUAGACAUUAUUGAGUAUCUUACUUUAUCUUGAAAUAUGUUAACUUUGUGCAAUGACCCUUUGUCUUGCUUUAUGCAAUUGAGAAAGUUGGUAACAAGUUUUAAAGUUUUUUGUCACUUGUCUUGACAUAAAUUUGACUAAAAAUCCGAGAAACAAAAUGAUGAUUUUUCAUUUGAUAACAAAGACACAAAAAUAAAAAAUAAAAAAAAUAAAAUAUAGAAAUAAAAGAAAAGAUAAUAGAUAUCUCUUUCAAAAACAACAGAAAGAAAAACUUAUCUGAGUGUCGUAGAUGGUUCCAAUGAUUAUGACAUGCAUUUUAAAUUAACAAUCUGAUCUUUCCAUCCCAAUUAUUUAUUGACUUUUUCAACUUGUUGAAUUUAAAACCAUGUUGCUAUUGAACUUUUUGCCUUUGGAUUACAGACUUUCUUCGGCUAGUAGCGGUUUAAUAGAUUUUCUCCAGCGAGCCUCUUUCAUUUUAAUUUUCUCUCAACUCACUGUCAUCUUAUCGUGCUCAUGAGGAUUCUCACCAAUAAAACUUUAUCAUUUUUAUUUUUCUAAUAACCCACUUUCGCCUUAUGCUGCCCAUAAAGAUUUUUCACCAGUAAGACUCUCUUAUUUUUAUUUUUGUUAUAUUUUUAUAUUGAUGAAAGAAAGUAGUGUCCAAAAUAUGAAAUAUCAUAUACCCAUAAAAUGCUUAGCCUUUACAUUUUUAAAUAUUGAUUUGAAGGUCUUUCUUUGAUUCUAAUUUUACUUUUGGAUAGGGUUAGAAAGAAAGGGCGGCAUAAGGCUCAAAAUAUACAUAGCAUAGGGUGAGACUUAAAACUUUUGAAUCGCAUAAAGAAAAUAACUUUUUCCCUAGUUUUAUUUCAUACUGUGUAACUUCAAUUUUUACUUGGUUGGACCGAAUUCCAGAGUAGGGCUGCCUAUGUAUCUUGUAAUAGCAAGAAUCAGGUCAAAUGUAGUUCAGACAUCUUUUGUUCUUUUGCUUGAUUUCUGCUUUUUUUUUUGACUCUAACUUUUCCUUUUCUUUAUGAGACUUUUUUCAACUCUAUUCUUUUUUAUUGACACUCUUUCCGACUUUAUUUUUUAGAAUCUUUUUGAAAAUUUCUAACUCUAUUUUGAUUUCAAAAGAGGGAUACAAAAGAAAAUAAAACUAUAUCUCAAAAGGGGUAACAAAGGAUGACACAAUAUUUGGAUAGCAUAAUGAAAUGUCUUCAUCAUAUCAAUCCGUAAAAAAGCAAGUAUAUAACAUGUAAUCUGAGAGUGAAUGUUGACACCUAAUUUUUACCCGCCAUACCUAAAUCCAAUUCUGAGUUUCUUUGAUUUUGAAUAAAAUUAUAACAUUUAUUUUAUCUGAAUAAAAAGCUUUUUAAAGUAUUUAUUUGCAUAAAUUUGUCAUUUUAAGUAGCGAUUAUAUAUUAUCGUAUUCAAUUGUACGAAAUUUUAUAAUUUUGUCACUUAAUUUUUUUUUUUUACAAAAUGUUGGAUUUUAAUCAAGGCUUAACUUGAAAAUAAAUAUAAAUGAUCAAAAUCUUGAUUUAAAUAUAAUUUAUUCUCAAGAACAAUUUAUUUGAAUAAAUGUGUGUUUGAUUUUAUUAAACCAAGAAGCUCGGGAUUAAGUAAGGUAUUAAUUCGUAUCAAAUCUCGAUUCAAUUUGGCCAAUCUAUUAAAUUCGGCUAUAAUCGAAAUCAAACUGACCCCAAUUACAAUGCAAUUGGCUAAUUGAUUCUCAAUUUUUCCAAAAAUUAAAUAAAUUUAGCUAACCCCUGAUUUAAUUGGGGUUAUUUUUUAAAAUAACUCAAAAAUUGACCUAAUCUACCCAUUUAUUAAUCCCUAAUUCCCAACACUAUAUCAAUUUCAGCCUAAUUUCAACCAAACAAAUUCAGCAGCCCAAUUAAAAAUCACAACCAACCCAGCCCAACAAAUGGUCUGACCCGACCCGUUCCUCUAUCUUCUCCCUCAAAUUUUUGAUAACAAUGUACUGCUCUAAUUUCCAUGCAAAACCUAAUAGCUCAACCUCAACUCAUUAAAACACCACCAAAACCCAAAACCAGCGACCCAAAGCCCAAACCCAAUAAUAUUUUGUUUCCACAUCGAUACGUGCCAAGCACGGGAUAGUAACAUCGAGUGUUCUUGAAGCUGCUACGUGUUACCUUUCAAUUCGUUUUUCAAUUGCUACAUUUCCAAAUUCGAAUCUCUCAACAAACUUGUAUGAUUUUGGCCAGCUCAAUUGAUCAUGAAUUUGAAAUUUGUCAAAAAUUUUGAAAUUUCCCUCUAAUUGUUCAUCUCCCACAUCGAUGGUGUGUAAAAACCCUAAUCCAACAUUUUUCUAUAAAAAGGGAUUGCGGAAGAGAAAAAGGGGCAAUUCUCAAAGAGGGGAAGCACCAUUCUUGAGCAAAAACUAGUAAGUUUUUAUUUUAGUAAAAUUUAAGAAGCCGUCAAUUUGAUCGAAAUUCUCGAAGGACCUACGGCUUCCAACGUUAGCUUGAGGUUCUAUUUUAUUGCUCCUAAAGAGGUAAACUUCUCGACACUUUAGAUUUUUUUACUUCUCGACACUUUAGAUUUUUUUAAUUUCUUAAUUUUGCCAUGUUUUCAGUAAUCGUAGUAGCAAAUUUGGUUUUCUCGUAUACUGGGAAUGGUUUACUGCAGAGGCCUUGAAGGCCGUAGGUUUUAUUAGGAUGAUGUUCUUGUUGCAAUAUUUCUCUGAUUUCAACCUCAAAUCUGUGUUAAAUGUUUAAUUUUUGUGUGUUCAUGUAUUUUACUGAGAUAUGAGAUUUUUAAACGUGUCUUUUUCCUUUGUCUUGCUCUACAAAUGCUAAUAAUGCAUCAAUUGAAAAUCGAUUAGGUCGAACUCUACACCUUAUUUUUUCUGUCGACUUGAGUUUAAAAAUUACAUCUUGUUGAAAUCUUGCACAGUGUAUGUUCUUGAUUUGUUUUAUUCAUAGUUGUUUGGAUUUCUCUGGGUAUGGUGUUGUUCAUAUAUUGUUGGCAUUCAUCUAUUUGAAAUAGUAGCCUAGCAUAGUGUAAGCGUUAAAUCCUCUCGAUUGAUAUUUUUGCAAAAAGAUGUUUCGAGUACUACACAUAUUUAUCCUAGCUUGUCCUUUCUAUUUUUUUUUUUGCUUUUUUAAUGUGGGUCUGUCACCAUGUUUUCUUCGACUAAUAAUGUCAAAAGGAAACAAGGGAGUUCAUCCUCUAAAUAAAUAGUAAGCUAAUAUUUAUUUUGAAUUUUUGCGAUUUAGUAAUGUGGUUCCUUGAAUUCGAGAAACCUCAAAUCUUCCUUUUAUUUUGUUUAUUAUCAGUCUGUCAAUUGAAUAAGAAAAACUGAAUGUAUGAAGCUGGAACGUCUAUUCAUGUUGUUUAGUGUUGUGUCGUUAAGAAAUAUUGAUUAAAUUGUGUUGGAAGCCUUGGUGAUUUCCUUCAAAAAAAUGUAUACUGUUUUCUUUGUUUUACUCUGGAUCAUGUUGCUCAUCAAGUUUAUGCCUCAAAAUUGUUAUUCAAUAAGAUAGAUAAAUUUCUUAAUCUCUCAUUUAAUUGGCAUCAUAGUAGACAAGUCAGUUUUUUUAAAAAAUGUUUGGGUUCCAAGUAAAUUUGUCCAGAUUGUUAGUUAACCUAUUACCUAUGGUGGUAUGAUUCAUUUUUCUCCGUUUCUUUAAGUAUAAGAAAUAUAAAUUGGUUGGCUAGUGUUAAUAGGUAUUUCUUACAAACUUAGACCAUUAAGUUGUAUUUAAGAUAUUCUCCAUCUUUGAUUAUCUUACCUCGAUCACUAUAUAGAUACUUUCAUUUCUAUUCAUUUCUCUCCACUAUUUUGAGAAUCGGGUUUCGCUUAUAAUUGAAUUAGUUGAUCUCAUUCAUUUUAUAUCUUUUAUGCUUUGAUGCUUAGUUUGGAAAUAUGUGUUACUUUUUUUUUAUUCUCUUCUUCAUAUGUGAAUAUGGCCGAGUCCGAAACGGACUCAAUCCCUCUUUGCAUUUCCUUCACGGUCCAUUGUGGCCCACCAUCUCUAUCAAGUCAACUCCUAAAGAAAGUUCCAAUAUCGAUCGCAUAUCGUGUGGGUGCAAAAAUCUAUAAGAAGAAGGAAAAUGGGUUAAAGUCCCAUCCUUGAAGCGGCUAACCAUUAUUCAUUUAUUUGAGCCUCGAAGCCAAAGUUGUAAACUAACAUAGGUGAACCAGAUUGUGGGCCAAAAAGGUCUCAAAAUAUGGAUUAGGACAGGUGAUGAUGGGCCGAAAACCCAAAUUAGUUUAGGACAGGUUUAUUGGUUUAGGCCUAACGGCCUAAAUCUUCUAACUCCUUUUUUUCUUCCUUUAUGUGCUUAUUUGCUUUUCAUUUGCUUAGACUUGGUUAAAUCCCCUACUAAGUUUUCAAUAUUUAUUUUUCUAAAAUUACUUUAUUUUCAAAAAAUCGACUUCUCUUUUUCAAAGUUAGUCAAAGAUAGUUUUCAAACAGUUUGGAUAACCGCAAGUUUGCGGACAUUUUAGGUGCCUUAAAAACCCUCCUAAAAUGUUAAUAGGAACCACUUACUCAAAAUCUUCAAAUUUAAAUAAUUUUUCUAUUUUGGAUUAUUUAAGUAAAUUUUCAGAGGUUUUUCUUGAUUUUCCUAAAUAAAUUAAGUGGCAACUCUAAAUAAGUCAAUAUUUUCGCAAAACAGUGAACAUAAAGAUCAUGCACAUCUUUUUCAACAUUGAUCGUGACUAAGCACAUGCACGUGUGUCACUUCUUACAUGCUUGUAAAACACACAAGUCCACUUGCAUUCUACUUUCCUCACAAUAGAUGACUCAUGCCUUUGUUGGAGCCAACUUCCUUUCGCUUCUCCCGACAAUGGAAACUAUAUAUCCUCUGAUUGAUCUCAUUCAAAAACUUGAGAUGGACCUUCUUAUUGAAGACCAAGUAAUUUUUAUUCGUAAAGUGAUUGCAUCAAUAUAUUCAAGUGUGGUUGUAACUAGAACCUCAAACAUAUCAACACUUUACUUAUUUUCUUAUAUGCAUUUUUUUCCAAUUCUAGCUUCUUGGUUCUAUAUUUUCAGGAUUAGAUUGGGUUUUAAAAUCUGGCUGAAAAUUCAACAUACACAUUAUAUCACUAAAACCAACGCAAAAUGUACUGCAUAAAGAAAAUAAAUGAACAACGUAUAUCAAAAAUAAAAGGUAAAGGGACACUACAUUUCAUUGAAAAAGAAAAAAGAAAGAAAAUAAAAAAAU
rnacentral:lncRNA from 1 species